rnacentral:lncRNA from 1 species
ACCUAACUAAGCUAAUUAUGUCAUAAGUGAGAUAAAUAAGCUAAUUAUGUCAUUUUGGAGAAUAAUUAUCUAAGUAUGUCAUUUUGGUGAAUAAAACUAGAAGAAUGAGGAGGAGGAGAAGAAGACUAGAAGAAGGAGGAGAAGAAGAAGGAGGAGAGGAAGAAGUAGAAGAAGAAGGUGAACAUAAUUACUUAUCUUGUUUUGAGCUUAAUAUGUCAUUUUGGAGGAAGAUACGCUAAUUUAUGAGCUAACCAAGGUUCUUGCGCUAUUUUUGACCUAACUAAGCUAAUUAUGUCAUAAGUGAGCUAAAUAAGCUAAUUAUAUCAUUUUGGAGGAUAAUUAGCUAAGUAUGUCAUUUUGGAGAAUAAAACUAGAAGAAGAAGCAGGAGGAGGAGGAGGAUACUAUAAGAAGGAGAUGAAGAAGAAGGAGAACAAGAAGGUGAAGAUGAUUAUUUAUCUUCUUUUGAGCUUAUUAUGUCAUUUUGGAGGAAGAUACGCCAAGUUAUGAGCUAACCAAGGUUCUUGUUCUAUUUUUGACCUAACUAAGCUAUUCAUGUCAUUAUUGAGCUAAAUAAGCUAAUUAUGUCAUUUUGGUGGAUAAUUUGCUAAGUAUGUCAUUUUGGAGAAUAAAACUAGAAGAAGGAGGAGGAGAAGACUAGAAGAAGGAGGAGAAGAAGACUAGAAGGAGGACCCCAGACUAGAAUCACUGGAUUGCUAAGGCCGGGUUCACUUGGAGAAGGUUGAUCUAGAGAAGGGCUGUGCGAUGCGACUCGGGAGUUAUUCUGCACCAAAGAUAUUUUGCAAUGUCUCGUUAGGAUGAUGACUCUCAAAUGCUCAUACUAGUAACUAAUUACCAUUGAAAUGAAACUCACCGUUCCAACCCCUCAAAUAUUAGGCAUCGGUGGAGGGGAUUGACCGUUUUAGAGGCACAUAGACUGCACAUUUGGAUUUGAUGUGUGAGUCAUAUUAGUUACUAAUGAAACAGACAUUGCAUGCAUGAUUUGUCUAAUGUGAAAAAUAAACUUACCACAAGGAGAUCAUACAUGGACCGGUUAGCCGUCUCAUUCCGUGCGCUCUCUUCCUCCAACAACCGAGUCGUGUUCUCCUUCGCAACCCGAUCCCUCUCCUCCAACAACCAAGUCGUGGUCUCCUUCACGGCCAGGUCCGUGUCCUCCAGAAGUGUCUGGGUUGCCACUCUGUCCUUCUAAAGAGCAGCCUACAACACCACUCCUUGUUAGCAUUGUAAUCAUCGAUGGCCACACACACAACAUCCAUAUAACUAACCUCGAUGGCGAGAUCAACUGGCCGUGCACGAGGCCUUAUCUCAGGACAGGAGCUCGUCUGGCGUGCCUUGAUCUCCGGGAGAGUGAGAGGACAAAAUACGAGCCUAUCUCCAAUGGCUAUCGAGCCAUGGGGCCUCCCUCCACAAGAUAUCAUCACCAUCUCUAGAUCAAAAGGCUCCUAGCUCGGGUUAUAGUCUACCCCUCUCCUCUUUUUCCCCUUGUCCUUGUAUCUCACAAACUUGUGGUGGGAGGAGAUGUUGGUGAAAUUCUCUGGAUGAUCGAGGUUAGACUCAGAGAAUGCCUUGGCCUUCUUGUAGGAGGCAGUAUGGGCCAUGCCAUAGAGGUCGUACAAAUGUGGCACCUCCGUCUUAUUGUGUUGCAUCUAAAAGAGAGGAACAAAGUAUUAGUAAACGACUCAAGCUAGCAUGAAGAAUGAAUUGCAUGAAUCAUGAAGAAAACCACAUACCUAGUUCCGUCCGAACUAAAAAAAGUUAGCGCUGCCUUGAUGGUGUGGCACACCAACCAUUUGCGCACGCCGGUCCUUCACAUUGUCGUUCAGGGCUCACCAUUGGCAUGUGCACCACUCAUCCACCAAUGCCUCCCAACAAUCCAUCUGAUCCUCACACCAUCUCGGGGGCACCUAUAAAUUCGUAAGGACAAAUUUCACCGCUAUGCCUACGAAUGAAAUCAAGAAAACUACGUACAAGGCCUUAAGAAUAGGUAAUUACCUUCAUCUACUCCUCCUUCUUUAGAUACUUUCCACGACACAACUUCUUGUCCUUAUUAAUACCAUGCAUGGCAUAGUAGUCUCGAAAAGCAUGCGGCCGAGCCUCGUGGCGUAAGUUAUUUUGUAAUAGCAUCUUGCACUCGGCCUAGAUAACAUUGGCCGCCGCCUCCUCAUAUCCCUCUUCACACCUGUAGAAUGUGUGUAAUCACACAAGAUAACACUGAUUAGUACAAUAACUAGCUAUAUUGUUAAUUUUAGAUUGUGCAAAAGGAGAAAUUACCCAAAAUAUGUUGAUCACCAUCUCGGCCCUCGUGUGGCACAGGACACCAUCGAUAAUAUCCUCCGACGGAGCCUCGACAGCCUGGUAGUGCUCCCAAGUAAAUCCUAGUGUUGGAAGCUCGCACUCACAGGGCAAUGUGACAAACGCCAGGAAAUUUUCCCGGAAAAUAACACCAAGGACGGUGUUCGUCUUGCGGAUGACAGGGGGUGAUCCCAAACCCUGCAGUAUGACAAGUUCAACACAUUAGAAAUUUGAAGAAACUUGAAGGCAAAAGGUACAAAAAUAGUAACUGCACUUACUUCUCCCCUUUAGGCCUAAUCACCGGCCUCUUCUCGCGGGUCGCCGGCACGACCAGGAGAUGUGUACUACCAUGCUGGUACACAGUGACCCCCUCAACCACCUCGCCCUCACUAUCAGUAGACUCAUCAUUGGCCUCACCGCCUCCAUUAGAUUGGCCACCCGGCCCCUCGGUCAUAUCCAACCAGGUAUCCCAUCCAGACGUCUCAGCUUUGGCCGAAGCCUCUGGGGCAGGAGUCUCGUGGGAUGUAGCCCCUGGUACAGAAGUCUCGGGAGCCAAAGCCUCAGGAACCGGAGUCUCAUGGGUCGAAUGCACGUCGACCCGAGGCUCUUGGACCGAAGUCCCCCUAGCCUCCACCUCAAACGGGUCCACCAUAGUAGUCUCGUGCUCGGGUGAAUUAGCUAGGGGUGGCGGCGAGGACGACGUAGCAGUCUUUCUACCUCUCCCGCGGCCACGUCCUGUACUGUUCGCCUUCUUCCCGCAUGCUUGACCUCCUCUCCUCGUGGGCAACGAUGUUGAUGAAGAAGCACCCGCGGGUGUCCCUAGACUAUCUGCCAAACUCUAUGGAGUACCCCCCGCGGGCCGCCGAGCGAUCUAGACCCGUGCCCACCAUCUUUCAACACCUGCCAUGAUAAAGAGUAAAAUAAAUUAGUACAACAUAAAAAAAUUGAACACCUGACAUGAAUAAUAAUAUGUACAUAUAUAAUUAAAGUUGGUAUGCAUACAAACUAAUAAUAGUCUGGAUCAAUAAAUGCAUCAUCAUCACUAUCACGCGUGUCUUCAUGAAUGACGUGCUCGGGUUCACCGGCAUCAACUUGUGGAAGGCCUUUCUGUAAUCGGUCAAGCAUUGAUAGGUCAUCCGCAGCCGUAAGCUCUUCUAGUUCUGGCUCUGCUGGUUCCGGCUCACGGGUGAAGUCGGAUUCACUUUCGAUGUCUAUUUCCAUGUUUGGGGGUGAAGUACAACGGUUGGUGAAACAUUUCUUCGAAAGAAGUGUUUCUUGGAAGAAUUCUCGGUCAUAUGUGUCUGGGUUAUUGUGAGGUUCAUAAUCCUCUUCAUUUGGGGGAGGUAGUCUAGCUUGUGGCGGCACUUCAUAAACAACAUCCCAACCAUUCAGAUUCUUAUUAGUUUGGCAAGCCCACGGUAGAUAGAAAACUUGGAUUGCGUGUUGAGCCAUAAUAUAGACAUCGAGAACAUCUAAAUGAGUGCUUUCCUAGAUUUCGACUAGCCCUGUAUGUUCAUGAGUCCUUAUAGUCUCCUUCGUCUGGAACUAAUACCAUUUGAAGACUACGACGUUGAGUGGGUUUACACCAUAGAAUUGAAGUUCAUAAAUUGCUUGAACUCUUCCAUAAUACUUGGUACCUCCUUCGCCGAUAGGAGAGACACAACAAUUUGUAGACUUCCGGUCGGGCAUAGAUAGCUCUUUGCCAAAGGUAUGAAAGCGAUGCCCGUUGAUAUUGUAUUUCUCAAAUGAAUGAACCUUAUAGUCAAAACCAUUAGCAGCUUCUCUCAAUUCGGCGUCCAUAGACUCUGAAUUAGGCUACACAAGUUUAAUACGAAAUGAAUGUUGCAUUAGCCACAAAUUAGACCAAGAAAUGAAAUGGUACAUUAUUUAUAAUUACCGUUUGUUUGAACCAAUAUAUGAAACCGGGAUAGCCACCUUCAUGCUUUGCCAGAAGCUCAUACUCUUUGACAGAAUCAAUUUGGAUGACCUCUCCAUCCGAGAAUUUGGCGAUGUAUCGAUUGUAUCAAAUAUACGGGAAUAAGAUCAGUUCAAAGGAAUUAGAAGUUGUGGAAAAAUGUACCAAGAACUUACUCGAUGUACAGCCGCACUUCUGUUAGGUUGUUCAAGAUAUACAACAAAAUGGUCCGUUAUUAUUCGACAUCCAACAUUAUUGGUUUUGAAGCACCGACUGGUGCGAGCUUCCCUUUGACUAGGCUGAGGUUGGAUCCACCUUUUUAGGGUCUCCAUCAUUGUACCGAGGCUUCGUAUUAUGAAAAUGAUGAUUUUUGGUUUCAUAGUGUGCUGUCAUGAAGUUUGCCACCUCCUUAGUAAUGAAUGCCUCGGCCAUCGAUGCUUCAAUUCUAUGUUUGUUUUUACAUUUAGCUCAAAGCGUCUUCUUCAUCCUCUCAGUUGUAAAGCACCAACGAUUUUGCACCGGCCCACCCAAUCUUGCCGCGGUCAGGAGAUGUAAAAUCAAAUGCUGCAUUGAAUUAAAGAAGCCUAGAGGAAAGUUCUUCUCUAACUUGCAGAGCAACUUCAACGCUAACUCCUCCAUGUCAUCUACCAUGACAGGCAACAGUUAUUUUGCACAAAGAACACAGGAGAAAUAGCUCAGCUCUGUCAGUACUAGCCAUUCAUCCUCAGGAAUAAAGCCACGUAACAUCACUCGCAUUACCCGCUCAAGCCAUAUGUGCCAAUCAUGACUCUUGAGACCAACUAUUUUCAAUUUUUCAAGACUCGCUCCCCUCUAUAGAUUCGCUACAGACCCAUCGGGGAACAUCAACUGCAUUUUGACCCACAAGAUACUUUCCCUCGUAGGUGGCCUUCCAAGAUUGAACCAGGCCUUUGGCUUCAACCACUUCUACUUUCCAAGCGAUUGUCGCAUGUUUUGUAACGGUCUAUGCCGAACAAUGUACCAAAAAUGGCCUCUCUGAUAUUCUUUUCAGUGUGCAUCAUGUCGAUGUUGUGUGGAAGAAGGAGGUCUUUGAAGUAAGGUGGAUCCGACAAGCAUGGCUUCUGAGUCCAGGCGUGUUCUGAAUUAUACCCCUUGAAAUACCCUGGACGCUCUGGAUCAGGCUGGAGGUCGUUUAACUGAUCUAGGAUUUGUUGGCCUGUCAACGCAGGUGGUGCCGAUUUUUUGACAACUUUGCCUUUGGUGAAGUUCUUCUUGUCUUUUCUGAACUGAUGGUGAGGAUCCAGGAACUGUCUAUGCAAGUCAAAGCAAGAACUGUCUAUGCAAGUCAAAGCAAGAAAACUGAAGAGAUGCCUUGCACGUGGGGCAUGGGAACCUUCCAUGCACACACCAUCCAGAGAAUAGCGCAUACACUGGCAAGUCAUGCAUAAAGUACAUGUACCAUACAUGCAUUUUGAACUUUUCUUUUCCAGCGGCAUCGUAUGUCUUCACCCUAUUAUUCCAAGCUUCUUGCAAUUCAUCCUUAAGUGACUGCAUGUACACAUUUAUAUUCUUUCAUGGAUAGUUCGGCCCUGGAAUCAUCAACGUUGGGAAUAUGUUCUUUCUUUGCAUUAUCUGUCCGGGGGGAGAUUGAGUGGAAUGACAAAUAAAGACCAAACAACUGUAUUGGGUUGCCGUCAUACCAAAGGGAUUGAACCCAUCUGUGCCAAUGCACACUCGAGGAUGACUUGGAUCUGCCAGUUUAUCCGGAUGUAAUGCUUUGAAAUCCUUCCAUGCUUCCUCAUCCGUUAUGUGUACCGCCAUCUUAUUCCCAUCUGCAUCUAGUUCGGUUCUUUUGCCCAAGUUGUGCAAUGUAAUUUCUCUGGCCGUCUCUUCGACCAUGAAAAGACUUUCAAGCCUUGGUAUGAUUGGCAUAUACCAAACAACAUUAGCUGGGAUUUUGGUCUGGCUCUUCUUGCCCAUACCAUUAUCUACCACAACAUACCUGGAAGACUUGCAAAUGGGACAAUAGUCCAAGUCCGCAUACUCCUUCCUAAAUAAGGCACAUCCCUUUUCACAGGCAUGUAUCUUCUCAUAGGGCAUCUUAAGUGCACGAAGUAUUUUGUCCGACUGUUACAUGUUUGUAGGCAUGACCUGACCUUUGGGUAGAAAGCGUCCAAAUAGUGUCAUCAUUUCGUCGUAGCAUUCCCUUCCCAAGUUGAACUAAGCCUUCCGAGCCAGUACUUGUGCAAUGGUAUCCAGCUGACAAAGCUCAGUGUGCUCGUGGAGAGGAUGUUUUAAAGACUCCAAAAUUUCAUAGAAGGCCUUUGAAGAUUCCUCCAUCUCAUCGUCCAAAUCCCGAGCAUCAUCAAAGUCUUGCACCAUGCUUUCGAUCCUGGUACCAUGCUUGUCGGUGCGACGACGAACCACCUCAGCUCUGGUGCAUUGUCUAGACUCACCAUGAAAUGUCCACACCGUAUAAUUAGGCUCAAAACCCCUCCUCUGCAGGUGUUUAAUCAUAUCAGCCUCUGUCCUCUUUUAAUAGUUGUUGCACCCAGGAUAGAGGCACCAGUUUGUUUCCUAACCAUUUGCAAAUGCGGCUUUCACAAACUCCCUAGUUUUUAUAAACAAUUCUUUGGUCAUCUCUUUGUGACUACUGUGACCGAUGUACAUCCACGCACGAUCACUCAUCUUGCCUAGCCGCUAAAGACACCAUAUAUAUAUAAUUCAUCAUGUAUAUUCAUCCUUUAAUCUAGUUUUUUAAUUUAAUUACGUCCAUGCAACCUACACGGUAAUAGGUAAAGAUAGGUCCUAAUCCCACCAGAGUAUGUGUACAGUGAGUACGUUCUCCAUGCUAUAACCCAUUCCGAGAGAAAAUUUUGGCAACACCUCCUCGCUGUUCUCCAAAUACACGUCUCGGCAAAAAGCCGAGAGAAUGUGCAUCCGGAGAACAAUGGGGAGGCGCUGCCAAAAUUUUGUCUUGGAAUGGGGUAGAGCAUGGAGAAUGUACUCACUCUACACAUACUCGGGCUGUCCGUGGAAAUCGCUGGACAAUCCAAAUGAGUUACGGUGAUAAAUAUGCAAUUGAAUGCAUAUUUCUGGAUGCAACCCUUUCGGACGAGAGACGCCUAGGUUACGCGACUUAGCAUGAAAAUGAAAUCUACUGACAUGAUUAAAAGAUCGUUGGAGGUGAAGGUGUAUUUGUAGCUCACACUCGGCUGUAAAGGAAGUAGUCGAACAACGCCGGGAUCCUGAAACAAAAUCUUCGAUGACGAUGACCCCAAGGUGAUGAAAUAGUACAAAGCCUGUAAAUUUUACCGAAUGGAAAAAAGUUUAGGACAUCACAUUACAUAAAGCAUUGACAGUUCAAACUAUGAAAAAAUAAUAUUACUAAUGACAUCACAUCACAUAAAGCAUUAACAGUUGCUCUUCUUCUUCUUCUUUCCUUAUCAUAUUCUUUUUCUUCUUCUNNNNNNNNNNNNNNNNNNNNNNNNNNNNNNNNNNNNNNNNNNNNNNNNNNNNNNNNNNNNNNNNNNNNNNNNNNNNNNNNNNNNNNNNNNNNNNNNNAUCUUUUUCAUCUUUUUUCUACUUAUUUUAAUUAUGACUAAUUAAAUAAACCUAGCAGUAAAACAAAAAAAUCUAAUCUAAUAUGACCUACCACUAAAUCUAAUCUAACUAAACCUAUCACUAAUCUAACAUAGCACUAAACUAAAUUAAUAUAGCAUUAAACAUGAAAAAAAGGAAAAAACCUCACCUUGGUGUUGUUGGCGCCGGAGGCACUGUGCGGAGGCCGCGACAGUGGGGGGCCUGGCGGUGGGGAACCGGGGAUGACAGGGGCGCUAGGUAGGGUAGGGACGACGACUGUGGGGAGGGACGCCGGCCGCGGGGAGGUGCGCCAGCCGCGGGGAGGGGCGCCAAAUGAGGGAAGGGGUGGCCGACGCGGGGAGGAGCUGGGGUGGCCGGAAUAGGGAGAGCCGCAGGGAGGGGGUGUCCGGCGUGGGGAGGAGCGGGGGUGGCCGGCACGGGAAGGGGUGGCCGAGAUGGGGCCGACGCAGGGAGAGGGAGGGGUGAUGACCCACAAGUAUAGGGGAUCAAUCGUAGUCCUUUCAAUAAGUAAGAGUGUCGAACCCAACGAGGAGCAGAAGGAUCUAACAAGUGGUUUUCAGCAAGGAAAUAUCUGCAAGCACUGAAAUUAUCGGUAACAAGUGAUUGUGUGGUGAGAUGAUUCAUAGCAAGCAACAAGUAACAAAAGUAGAAACGGUGUAGCAAAGUGUCCCAAUCCCUUUUGUAGCAAGGGAAAAUCCUGGACAAAGUCUUAUAGGAGGAAAAACGCUCCUGAGGACACACGGGAAUUUCUGUCAUGCUAGUUUCAUCAUGUUCAUAUUAUUCGCGUUCGUUACUUGGAUAGUUUGAUAUGUGGGUGGACCAACGCUUGGGUACUACCCUUACUUGGACAAGCAUCCCACUUAUGAUUAACCCCUCUCACAAGCAUCCGCAACUACGUAAGAAGAAUUAAGACAAAGUCAAACCAUAGCAUUAAACUAGUGGAUCGAAAUCAGCCCCUUACAAAGCAACGCAUAAACUAGGGUUUAAGCUUCUAUCACUCUAGCAACCCAUCAUCUACUUACUACUUCCCAAUGCCUUCCUAUAGGCCCAAAUAAUGGUGGAGUGUUAUGUAGUCGACGUUCACAUAACACCACUAGAGUAAAAACAACAUACAACAUAUAAAAAUACCAAACGAAUACCAAAUUCACAUGACUAUUAUUAACAUGACUUAUUCCAUGUCCUUGGGAACAAAAGUAACUACUCACAAAGCAUAAUCAUAUUCAUGAUCAGAGAGGUAAUGAUUAGCAUCAAGGAUCUGAACAUAAACUCUUUCACCAAAUAAUCCAACUAGCAUCAACUACAAAGAGUUAUCAACACUACUAGCAACCUUACAAGUAGCAACCGGAGUCGCGAGACGGAGAUUGGUUACAAGUGAUGAACUAGGGUUUGGAGAUGAGAUGGUGCUGAUGAAGAUAUUGAUGGUGAUGAGUCCCCUCCGAUGAGAGGAGUGUUGGUGAUGACGAUGGCAACGAUUUCCCCCUCCGGGAGGGAAGUUUCCCCGGCAGGAUCGUCCUGCCGGAGCUCUAGAUUGGUUCUGCUCAAGUUCCGCAUCACGGCGGCGGCAAAACCACGAAAAAGCUCCCCUCUGAUUUUUUUUCCUGGACGAAACCCUCCAUAUAGCAAAAGAGGGGGGCCAGUGUCACAUCCCUGGAUCCCUAACUAGGUUUAGCAUUGUGCUCAUGUUUACAUUCAUUGCAUUCAACAACUUGAAACAAAUUCAAAGCAAGUGGUGAAACAAAACCCCCAAAACCCUAGCCACUUCUCAAAAUUCAAGGAAAUUCAAAACUUGUUAAAAUCAAUGAACCCAAAAUGGCCUUAAGAAAAGUUCAACUUUUCUGAUAAUUCUUGAAAGAAAAUUAUCAGGGAAGAAAACUAUUUUCAAAACACAUUUGGCAUUUUAUUUAAAUUCAAAAAGCCAUUGAAUUCAAGUUUAAAUUUGAAUUCAAAAACUUUCAAGUUUUCAAAAAUGUUGAAAACUUAAGUAAUGGUUGGAAAUAUUCCAACUAAUAUUUCAGUGUGUUCAAAAUAAUUUUUGAACUAGGUUUGGAGCCAAAAUAAAUGGCAAAACAAUUAAGUUUGAAAACAGAAAACAAAAUAGAAAAAAAAAUAAGAAAAGAUUACAUGUCGCUCACCUGGCCCAGCCCAGCUAUUCCUCUGUCGUCUUCCCCUCGCCAAUGGGCAGUAGGAGGUGGCCGCCGUGUACUCUGGCGCGGCCACGCACCUGUGCGCCUGCCUGGCCGCCGCUUCGCGCUGGCACACGAGGGGAUAACCUCCCCGAGGCGUGCCCGAGCUCAUACCCUCCCCAUUCUUCCCCCUGCUACCUCUCCUCUCGGCCUCCAUUGGAGCCCGAGCAGAGCUCGAGCUCGCCGUCGCUCUGACCUGCCUCCUUCCCUCCUGAGCCGCGCAGAAGAACCGCCAGGGUCCCCUGAAGCUUCCAAGCCACGAGCUCGACGCCGAGACGCGGUCGUCUUCUUCCUCGGGUCAGCGAAGCUUGCCGCCGGCGUUCUCUCUCUACAGGCCGUCCCGGAGCAAGCUAGCGCCACCACUGCACUCCCUGUGAGCCUAGCAAGAUUUCCCCCAAGUUUCCCCAUUCGAUCUGUUCCUCUAGCCCUGUUUUCACCGGAGCCCGACGAGAUCCGCCGCGGGACCUCUUCGUCGUAGCCCUCUGGUGAACGUCUCGUCCAUCUGACGCCACCAGUGGCUUCAGGACGUCGUGUAGAUGUCGUAGGAGUGUAGCCCCGCGCGUGAAGCCCCCUGUUUCGAUGACCCCGAUGACGCCCGAGCUUCGGGCGUCGCCAAGCUCAUCGCUGGCAUCAUCUUCGGCCAGAUCAGCCCCCCGUUCUGUGCAGAAAUGGAACGACGGGUGAACGCUGGUCAGUCUGGUGCACUCCGCGCAGAGUUUGGCCGCCUGUGCCGUGUUUCCGAGUCCCUCCGCCGUUCUUGUGGUCGCCGGAGGCUUACCGCCGGCGAGGACGAGCUCGCCGCCGGUGGAUCUGACCCCCCUGAGUCUAUGACAGGUGGGGCAAUACUCUGGUUAAUUAGUAAUAAUAAAAAUAAAAUUAACUUAAUUAAAUUAACCUAAGCAAUCACUGGCAGGUGGGUGCUACCCUGUUAAUUAACUAAUUAACUUAAAUUUAAACUAAAAACUGUCCUGAGUCACUGACCAGUGGAUCCCACUGGUCAGGUUUGACUUUCAAUGGCUAGUUGGACCUGCUGGUGUCAUGCUGAUGCAAUAAAGAGUUUUCUGAUUUAAAAGAAUUCCAGAAAAUGCCCAAAACUUCUAAAAAUCAUAGAAAAUAAUAUGUAACUCCAAUGAAAAUAAUUUAUAUAUGAAAAAGUAUCAUAAAAAUUCAAGGAAUCUGAUUUUGAUAUUUUCAAACAUGUUUGAAAAUGUUAACUUCACCAAACAGAUUAAAUGAUGAUUAGGUAACCUCAUUAAAUAAUUUGGAGUUGGAAUUUGAAAUCCAUUUGAAUCCCACUUCAAAUAUUAUGACCAAACCAUGAUCAAGAACAACCAGCAACCCAACAUACCAUCAUCAUGCAUGUUAAAACAAGAUGACCUGAGCAUCAGGUCGAAUCAAUUAAAGGGGUAUUUGAAAAUACCUUGUUUGAAGUGAUAUUUGAAUCUUGAUUCAAAUCAACUUCAACUUAGGAAAUGGUAGUCACAUUAGCCUACCACCUUUGAUCUUCAUGCCAUGCUCAUGCAUCAUCUUGUUGCAUAUGAUUGAUAUUGAUUGAUGUCAUUUCUAUCGGUAGGCUCCGCUCCUCUGGAUUCCACCAAAUAUCCGACUAAUGGAUAUUGUCCCUCUCCUGAGCAACAAGGCAAGCAACCAUUUUGAUCAUCCCAUUAAAUCCCAUGUUCUCGCUCCUGCUCUUAUUUCUUGCAUUAGGGCAAAUGCUUUCACUGCUUUUACUAUGUUAGUCGAACCCACUUCCUUUGCAUGACAUGUCUUUCUCACAGUAAAUAGCUGAACCUUGCAACCUAGCAUACUGGUAGAUGCUUGAGCCAUGAUGUGCCUUAUCCUGCUAUGCAUGCUAUGCUUAGAGUUGUGUAUGGUCUGUCAUCUGGAUGAUGAACAGAAUUGUGAGAAUGGGUUCAGUAAGUAAAGGUUGUGUGUUGAAUCUGAUUUGGUAAAGGUACCGGUGAAAGGCUAUGUAGGAGUACAUGGCGGGUUCUUUCAUUGGAACCGUCCUUAGGAACUGAGUUCCGUGUAUGUAAUCCAAGACUAGAUACUACCACACGUUGCGAUACUUAAUUGACCCUCUCGACUUAUUAAUCGCUUAGUACUCAGUCGAGGAGUUGCAAGUAGUUUCUGGUGUUUAUAGUCAUGCUGGAGGCCAUGCGUAGCACUGACCUUAGAGGUGGGCUAUGAUGCGGUAGGUAGUGGCACGGUGUACCAAGUGGCACCCGGAUGGUGGGCUUGGGAACCCUGCGCACAUCGUUUGGGGCCGUGGCGGAAACCUCGACCGGACUUCCGUGCGGGUUACCCUCAGAUAGGCGAUAGACCUGGACUAAGUAUUAGCAUGGCUAACGGUCGUGGCCGACUCCCUCGCUGGGCUUCCCCUUGAAGGUUGCCGAGGUGCAUGACGUGCACAUGGCGAUAAGUUGCGAGAGCGUGUGUGAAGAAGUACACCCCUGCAGGGUAUGAUCUAUUUGAAUAGCCGCGUCCGCGGAUAUGGACUACUUGGAGACAUAUGUUGUUCAUAGAUAACUUUAAUGGCUACUCAUAAAAUUGUCAAGAUAAGCGUGAGUGUCGUGGACAGAAUUUCCGUAUGGAGACGGAAUGAUUCCACGAUGGUGUAUUGUUGUGGUGUUAGUGGACUCGUGUGCGAGAAAUCAAGUUGUAAAAUUAUUUAAAAAUGCAAGUUGUCUAGCCACGAGUCAAAUGGUGGCUUUCCGCAUGAAAACCCACAAUUCCUUAUUGAUACAUUGCAUGAGUAGAUAACUUAUCCUAAAGUCUUGCUGAGUACUUUUGUACUCAUGUUUGCUUAAUAAUUGUUGCAGAGGUUUUUAAUGACCCUAGUGGAGGGUUCUACCUAGACAUCGACGACGACGAGUAGCUGGUAUCCCAACUAUGACCUGGUCCUAGGAUGGGUCUGUAGAUAGUCAGGCCAUGUGCCUUUAUCUUUCCAUCUGUGUGUACUCAGACAGCUUUAAAUCUUCCGCUGGGUUGUAAGAAUUGUUUGUAUGACUUGUGAUGAUGGGUCGUGAGACCCCUACUUUGUAAUAUUAUGUGUGUGGAUCUUCCGAGCCUUCUAAAUAAAGUUUGUAUGUUUAUGGUUAUGUUGUGAUACCAUCGAUGUAUCUAUACAUAUCGGUAUGCCAUGCGUACUUGUGUUGUACUUGAUAUGUAUGGGGUUCGAUUACCCAGCCAUAGGCUUUAGUAGCAUUCCUUACAGGGAAAUGCCCCUUUGCGAUCCAACGAGCCCUGGUAGUUCGCUACUUCUCCGGACACAUUGGUUGACCGGCAUGUGUCCUUCUUAGCUGUUGUGUAUGUCCCCGUUGGGGAAAUGUCACGCGAUGUAAUUGAGUCCUUGUAGCUUGCUACGACUCGUCUACGUUCGCUGGUGACCGACACCUGCUUUGCUGGGUCAUGUAUGCUUGUCUCUGUGCGGAACUGUCACUUUGGUUUAUGACUAGACAUGUCGAUCCGGGUUCUUUGUCAUUGGAUUGCUAGCAACACAAUUGCAUACGUGUGUAAAAGGCACAAAUGGUCCCGGCUAAGGUAAGGCUGCAGCCGUGAGGAUAACCGUGCGUGAGACCGCAAAGAGAUGCGAUGUGUUACAGGCUGGAUUCCUAUGACUUAGGAUUGGGAUCCCGACAGCCAGUGGGCCAGUGGGCUGCCCACAAGCCCCAAUGGCGCGGCUUGGGGGGGUGGCCGCGCCGUGCAGGCUUGUGGCCACCCCCUCGUGCCCGUCUGGCACUUCUUCGGCCCAGUAUUUUUGAUAAAUUGGGACAAAAAUUCAAUCUAUUUUCACGGCGUUUGGAGUUGCGCAGAAUAGGUAUCUCAACUUUGCUCCACCUUCAGGCCAGAAUUCCAGUUGCCGGUAUUCUCCCUCUUCAUGUAAACCUUGCAAAAUAAGAGAGAAAAGGCAUAAGAAUAGUACCGUGAAGUGAAAUAACAACCAAAGAAGCGAUAAAUAUCAACAUGAAAACAUGAUGCAAAAUGGACGUAUCAAUUCCCCCAAGCUUACACCUCGCUUGUCCUCAAGAGAAAGCCGAGCUCAAUAAAUAUGUCCACAAGUUUAGGGAGAGAGGUGUCGACAAAACAAGAUACGAACAUGCAUGCAUCAUGAUCAAGCUCAGAACAGCAAUACCAACAUAUAAUCUCUCAUGCUAAAGUGAUAAUUUCUUCACAAAGUAAAGCAUGGAUCAAGAACCUUACCGAGAAGUAACAACCGAUAGCCUUUAGUCAUUGAAGCAAUUGCAAUUUAUCAAAACAUCAGAAAGGGUCAAAUAAGAGCUUGUAAAGAAAAUCCACAUACUCAAUCAUUAUUUCGUUCUCUACAAUUGCUACAACUCACGUGGUAUUCAUGAGAUCAAAGUUUCAGCUGGACACAGAGAAAGAUAGGGGCUUAUAGUUUUGCCUCCCAACUGCUUACCUCAAGGGUAAUGUCAACAAUAAUAAUUCAUGAAUGCCUACCUCCAAGUUGACAUAUGAAUAUAGAUCUUUCCCAAGCAUAUGAUGUUAGCGAAGAUAAAGGCGAAAUAAGGAAUUGGUGAAGAUCACCAUGACUCUUUCAAGGGCAAAAAGUAAAGGUACAAGAUAGGCCCUUCGCAAACGGAAGUAGAGGUUGUCCUGCACUUUUGAGGUUUGGAUGCGUCUCCUCUUAGUGCGGAGGAACGUCACUUUAUAUUGCCUCCUAUGAUAAAGAACUUUAUUAUGCAGUUUAUCGCUUUUAUGUCUUCCUCAUCACAGGUUCGUAUAAAUCUUAUUUUCCACACACAAAUAGAUCAUACAUAUUAGAGAGAAAUAUUUAUUGCUUGCACCGAUGACAACUUACUUGAGGGAUCUUAUUCAAUCCAUAGGUAGGUAUGGUGGACACUGAUGGCAAAACUGGGUUGAUCGUUUAUAGAUGCACAAGUAGUAUCUCUACUUGGUGCGGGAGUUUUGGCUAAUAUGAGGUGGAAGCAAUUGUCACAUGCUAAGGGAUCUCUAAUCAUAUAACUUUGUUCAGAGCCAAGCAAACACAAUUCAUUACGUUGUCUUCCUUGUCCAACAUCUACUUCUAGGCAUGCAAUAGUUUGGUGAGUGUUCACAAUCAUAGAUGGUGUGAGAGAUGAUAUAUUUAUAUGUGAACCUCUCCUUCUUUAUCACUUCCUAUUAAUUGCAACAAUGACCAAGGUCUACGUUUGCCUACCCUCAACAAGUUUCAAUCCUCAUUCUUUUUAUAUGUGAAGCCAUCACUUCCCAUAACAUCAUUACAUGAUCUUUCAUGCUUUUGUUCUAUUCUCACUCUUUUUAUCAUGGCAAGAGGCAAAGCCCUUCAACUAAGACACUCUUUAUUAUAUGGCUCACGAGCAAGAAUAUAUUGGGGGUGACACAACGCAAAACUCAAAACUAAAACACUAAGACUUUUACUCUAUUAGAGAAAGAGAAAAUUGAAAAGGAAAACUAAAACAAAGGUAAAGGCAAAAAUGUGAUGGUGAUACGAUACCGGGGAAACUCCCCCAAGCUUGGCAAAAGCCAAGGGGAUUGCCCAUACCAAUGCUCAGUUGUCUUCCUUUGGUCCCCCCCUGGAGUUGUUAAAGAAGUCUUGAGCUUGUUUAAUUUCCACCUGAGCAUAAAAUUCUGCUCCCUCAGAUCAUCAUUUUCCUCUUCAAGCUUCAACACCCUUUGGCCUAAUUCCUACUUACUCUCCUGCAAGAAACGAGAAAGGAUAAACAAGGUCUUAGGCUUCUUCCUUGAGCUAGGGAGGCUUGACUUCUUGAACUCCACAUGAGUGUGUCCAGGUUGAGGUAGAGGAGCCUCCUCUUCAUCGGAACUUGUUUGUUCCUUCCCCUUGGGAUCAUAGUCUUCUUUCUCAUCAGUGGUCCAACCAUAUGGAUCAAAGUCCCCAUAGACCUUGGGGUUAGCAAGGUAAUCAGCCACAUAUCUCUCCCCCUCUGAAUCCUGAGAAGACAUCUCGACCUAGAUCUGCGGCAGAAAACAGGCUCAAAACAAAAAACACAGGAAAUCUACGUGAUGCAGGGGUCAGACCAAACGGAAGUAUAUAUAAUUAUUUUUUCCAAACCAGAAGGAGUACCCUGCAUGAAAACGGAGUCCAGGAGGCGCACGAGGUGGCCACAUGCCCUAACGGUGCGGCUAGGGGGUGGGCCCGCGCCGUGCAGGCUUGUUGCCUCCUUGCGCACUUUCCGGACUACUUCAAUUUUUGUAUUUUUCAAAUAUUCCAAAACGGAGAAAAUUUCCUGCUGGAAAAGUUUUGGACUCUGUUUUCUUACCGAAUCACAUACCUCUUUGUUUUCGGAGUCUAAAAUAGGCUGAUAAAUAUCCCUUAGGUAUUCUUCCGGAGUUAUGGUAUUGAUGAUAUUGCUUUCAACAUUUAUGGGAGUACCUGAGAUAAAAUGCUUGAUUCUCUGCCCAUUUACCACUCUCGGGCAAUUACCUUCCAUGUUGUUGAUCUUGAUAGCACCGGAACGAUAUAGUCCUCAACAACAUAGGGACCUUCCCAUUUAGAGAGAAGCUUGCCUGCAAAGAAUCUUAAACGAGAGUUAUAUAGCAAGACAUAAUCACCUACAUUGAACUCACGCUUUUGUAUCCUCCUAUCAUGCCACUUCUUAACCUUCUUUUUGAACAGCUUGGCAUUCUCGUAUGCCUGAGUUCUCCACUCAUCAAGCGAGCUAAUGUCGAAUAACCUCUUCUCACCGGCAAGAUUAAAAUCAAAGUUGAGCUCUUUGAUUGCCCAAUAAGCUUUAUGCUCUAGCUCAAGAGGUAAAUGCCAUGCUUUCCCAUACACCAUUUUGUACGGAGACAUGCCCAUGGGAUUCUUAUAGGCAGUUCUAUAAGCCCACACUGCAUUAUCGAGCUUCUUAGACCAAUUCUUUCUAGACCUGUUCACAGUCUUCUAUAGAAUCAGUUUAAUCUCUCUAUUGUUUAGCUCUACUUGACCACUGGACUAAGGGUGAUAGGGAGACGCAAUUCUAUGGUUGACAUCGUACUUAGCAAGCGUUUUACGGAAAGCACCAUGAAUGAAGUGUGAACCACCGUCGGUCAUCAGAUAUCUAGGGACUCCAAAUCUAGGGAAGAUAACUUCUUUCGACAUCUUGAUAGAAGUGUUGUGAUCAACACUACUAGUGGGGAUAGCUUCUACCCAUUUAGUGACGUAAUGAACAACAACUAAGAUGUGAGUAUACCCAUUGGAUUUUGGAAAAGGUCCCAUAUAAUCAAAGCCCCAAAUAUCAAAUGGUUCAAUGACAAGUGAAUAGUUCAUAGGCAUUUCUUGACGUUUUCUAAUAUUACCUAUUCUUUGACAUUCAUCACAAGACAAGACAAACUUACGGGCAUCCUUGAAGAGAGUGGGCCAAUAGAAACCUGAUUGCAAUACCUUGUGUGCAGUUCUAUCUCCCGCAUGGUGUCCUCCAUAGGCCUUGGAGUGACACUUCUGUAGGAUCUAUCCCUGUUCAUGUUCAGGUACACAACAUCUAAUAGCACCAUCUACUCCUUCCUUAUAAAGGUGAGGAUCAUCCCAAAAGUAGUGUCUCAAGUCAAAGAAGAAUUUCUUCUUUUGCUGGUAUGUGAAACUAGGUGGUAUAUAUUUGGCAACGAUAUAGUUUGCAUAAUCAGCAUACCACGAUGCACUACAUGAAGCAUUGAUGACAUUCAAUUGCUCAUCGGGAAAGAUAUCAUCAAGAACGUUCUCCAACCUAGACAAGUUAUCUGCUACUGGGUUAUCAGCACCCUUUCUGUCGACAACGUGCAAAUCAAAUUCUUGUAGCAAGAGAACCCAUCUGAUAAGUCUAGGUUUAGCGUCUUUCUUCUCCAUGAGGUACUUAAUAGCAGCAUGAUCAGUGUGAAUAGUGACUUUGGAAUCAACUAUGUAAGACCUGAACUUUUCACAUGCAAACACGACUGCUAAAAAUUCCUUCUCUGUAGUGGCAUAGUUUCUCUGGGCACUGUCUAGAGUUUUACUAGCGUAGUGAAUAAGAUUCAACUUCGUAUCGACUCUUUGCCCUAGAACAUCACCAACAGCAUAAUCGCUAGCAUCACACAUGAUUUGAAAAGGUAAGUUCCAAUCAGGUGGUUGAACAAUAGGUGCAGUUAUCAAAGCCCUCUUAAAUAUUUCGAAGGCUUCCUCACAAUCCUCGUCAAAGACAAAAGGAAUAUCCUUUUGCAAGAGGUUGGUAAGAGGCCUAGAAAUCUUAGAGAAGUCUUUAAUGAACCUUCUAUAGAAACCAGCAUGACCAAGGAAACUUCUUAUCCCUUUGAUAUCUAUGGGGUAUGGCAUCUUCUCGAUUGCAUCAACCUUAGCCUUAUCGACUUCAAUACCUCUUUCAGAAAUUUUAUGUCCUAAGACGAUGCCUUCAUUAACCAUAAAGUGGCACUUCUCCCAAUUCAAGACAAGAUUGGUGUCUUUACAUCUCUAUAAGACUCGAUCAAGGUUGCUGAGGCAAUCAUCAAAGGAAGACCCGUAAACGGAGAAGUCAUCCAUGAAAAGCUCGACAAUCUUUUCACAGAAGUCAGAGAAUAUAGCCAUCAUACAUCUUUGAAAAGUGGCAGGUGCAUUACAUAAGCCAAAAGGCAUACGUCUAUAAGCAAAGGUACCGAAAGGGCUUGUGAAAGUGGUCUUCUCCUGAUCAGAUUGUACAACUGGUAUUUGGGAGAAACCAGAAUAACCGUCUAGAAAGCAGAAGUGUGUGUGUUUGGACAACCUUUCUAGCAUUUGGUAGAUAAAAGGCAAAGGGUAAUGAUCUUUCCUAGUGGCUUUAUUCAAUUUCCUAAAAUCGACCACCAUCCUAUAGCCAGUAAUAAUCCUCUGUGGGAUAAAUUCAUCCUUAUCAUUAGGGACAACGGUAAUGCCUCCCUUCUUAGGGACGCAAUGCACCGGACUCACCAAAUCGCUAUGAGCAACAUGAUAUAUGAUACCUACUUCCAGGAGCUUUAGUAUUUCUUUUCUCACUACUUCUUUCAUCUUAGGAUUUAAUCUCCUUUGAUGAUCAAGAACUGGUUUGAAAUCAGGAUCAGUUUUAAUCUUGUGCUGGCAUAGAGUAGGACUAAUGCCCUUAAGAUCAUCAAGAGUAUAUCCAAUAGCAGCACGGUGCUUCCUCAGAAUUUUUAGUAACUUCUUUUCUUCAUGUUCUGAGAGGCUAGCACUAAUAAUUACAUGAUAUAUCUCUUUUUCAUCAAGAUAAGCAUACUUAAGAGUAUCAGGCAACUGUUUAAGCUCGAACACAUGAUCACCUUUUCAUGAGGGUGGAUCCCCAAGCAGUUCAACAGGCAGAUUAUUCUUAAGGAUAGGAUAUUGUUCUAAUACAACUCUAUCUAUUUCAUCCCUUUCAUCCAUAUGCAUAUCAUUUUCAUGCUCAAGCAAGUAUUGCUCUAAGGGAUCAGUAGGAGGCACGAAAAUAGAGGCUAAGGCAAUAGUUUCAUCCCUACUAGGCAACUCCUUUUCAUGAGGUUGUCUACCAAACUUAGAGAAAUUGUACUCAUGUGACACACCUUCAAAGCCAACAAUGACAGUUUGCUUCUCACAAUCAAUAUGAGCAUUGACAGUAUUGAGAAAAGGUCUACCAAAUAUGAUGGGAUAAAAGCUAUCUUGUGCGGUAGCAAGAACAAGGAAAUCAGCAGGAUACUUCGUUUUACCACACAAGACUUCAACAUCCCUAACAAUUCCCAUAGGGCAGAUAUUAUCUCUAUUGGCAAGCUGAAUAGUGACAUCAAUAGGCUCUAUCUCAACAGGUGCAAUCUCAUCUUUGAUUUCAUCGUAUAAGGAUUGAGGUAUUGCACUAACACUAGCACCCACGUCACAUAAACCAUGAUAACAAUGAUCUCCUAUCUUAACACAAACCACAUGCAUGCCAACAACAGGCCUAUGUUUGUCUCUAGCGUGAGGUUUAGCAAUUCUAGCAGCAUCUUCACAGAGGUGAAUAUUAUGUCCCUCAACUUCUUCAGACAGAAGAUCUUUGAUAAUAGCAAUGCUAGGUUCAACAAUAAUUUUCUCAGGGGGUGUAGGUUUUCUAAUCUACCCUCUAUGUAUCACAGUUGAAGCUUUAGAAUGAUCCUUUAUCCUAACAGGGAAAGGUGGUUUCUCAAUGUUAGCACUGGGAACAACAGGAUCACUAUAGGCAAUGACUUUCUCUUCAACUGGAGUGGGUUUAACUACAUUGACUUCUAAAUGAGGAUGAUAUAUAAACCACUUCAAUAUGAGCAGCAAUGGAUUCACACAAUGAAGCUACUAUCUCAGAGUCAAGUCCAUACUUAGCGCUAAAAUCACUAAAGGUAUUUGUCUCAACAAAGGAUUUAACGCAAUCAAACGUGAAAUUCAUACCUAACUCCUUACCUUCUUCAAGCUCCCACUCUUCAGAGUUGCGUUUAAUUCUCUCCAAUAAAAUCCAUUUGAAGUCAAUAUUUCUCUUCAUAAAAGAACCGGUACAAGAAGUGUCAAGCAUGGUGCGAUCAUCAUGAGAAAGCCGAGCAUAGAAGUUCUCAAUGAUAAUUUCUCUCGAGAGCUCAUGGUUGGGCCAUGAAUAUAGCAUUGAUUUAAGCCUCCCCAAGCUUGAGCGAUGCUUUCUCUGUCACGAGGCCAAAAAUUAUAAAUAUAAUUUCGAUCACGAUGUACUAAAUGCAUAGGAUAAAACUUUUGAUGAUAUUCCAAUUUCAACCGAUUGUAGUCCCAUGAUCUAGUAUCAUCACAUAGCCUAUACCACGUCAACGCCUUAUCCUUCAAAGAUAAGGGAAAGACCCUCUUCUUGACCUCAUCCUCGGGCACACCUGCAAGCUUAAAUAAACCACAAAAUUCAUCUACAUAGAUUAGAUGCAAGUCUGGAUGUGAUGUUCCAUCUCCUGUAAAAGGAUUAGCCAGCAGUUUCUCAAGCAUACCCGAAAGAAAUUCAAAGAAAAUAUUUUCAGUAGGUGCAGCAGGUUGAGGAGCAACCAUUUGUGCUUCCGUUUGAGGUGAAGAUACCCCGAACAAGCCCCUCAAAGGAUUAGUUUCCAUAGUGACAAGUGAUAAUAGAUUUCAGCACACUAUAUGAAUGUUUCCUUACCAAGUUCCACUUACCAAAGGCGCUUCACUCCCGGGCAACGGCGCCAGAAAAGAGUCUUGAUGACCCACAAGUAUAGGGGAUCAAUCGUAGUCCUUUCCAUAAGUAAGAGUGUCGAACCCAAUGAGGAGUAGAAGGAUCUGACAAGUGAUUUUCAGCAAGGAAAUAUCUACAAGCACUGAAAUUAUCGGUAACAAGUGAUUGUGUGGUGAGAUGAUUCGUAGCAAGCUACAAGUAAAAAAGUAGCAACGGUGCAGCAAAGUGGCACAAUCCCUUUUGUAGCAAGGGACAAGCCUGGACAAAGUCUUAUAGGAGGAAAAACGCUCCUCAGGACACACGGGAAUUUAUGUCAUGCUAGUUUCAUCAUGUCCAUAUGAUUCGCGUUCGUUACUUUGAUAGUUUGAUAUGUGGGUGGACCAACGCUUGGGUACUGCACUUACUUGGACAAGCAUCCCACUUAGGAUUAACCCCUCUCGCAAGCAUCCACAACUAUGAAAGAAGAAUUAAGACAAAGUCUAACCAUAGCAUUAAACUAGUGGAUCCAAAUCAGCCCCUUACGAAGCAACGCAUAAACUAGGGUUUAAGCUUUUGUCACUCUAGCAACCCAUCAUCUACUUACUACUUCCCAAUGCCUUCCUCGAGGCACAAAUAAUGGUGGAGUGUUAUGUAGUCGACGUUCACAUAACACCACUAGAGGAAAAACAACAUACAACAUAUCAUAAUACCGAACGAAUACGAAAUUCACAUGACUAUUAUUAGCAUGACUUAUCCCAUGUCCUCAGGAACAAAAGUAAUUACUCACAAAGCAUAAUCAUAUUCAUGAUCAGAGAGGUAAUGAGUAGCAUCAAGGAUCUAAACAUAAACUCUUUCACCAAAUAAUCCAACUAGCAUCAACUACAAAGAGUAAUCAACACUACUAGCAACGUUACAAGUACCAAUCGGAGUCGCGAGACGGAGAUUGGUUACAAGUGAUGAACUAGGGCUUGGAGAUAAGAUGGUGCUGAUGAAGAUGUUGAUGGUGACGAGUCCGCUCCGAUGAGAGGAGUGUUGGUGAUGAAGAUGGCGACAAUUUCCCCCUCCGGAAGGGAAGUUUCCCCGACAGGAUCGUCCUGUCGGAGCUCUAGAUUGGUUCCGCUCAAGUUCCGCCUCGUGGCGGCGGUGAAACCACGAAAAAGCUCCCCUCUGAGUUUUUUUUCCUCGACGAAACCCUCCAUAUAGCAAAAUAGGGGUGCCAGUGGGCCAGUGGGCUGCCCACAAGCCCCCAUGGCGCGGCCUGGGGGGGUGGCCGCGCCGUGUAGGCUUGUGGGCACCCCCUGGUGCCCCUAUGGCACUUCUUCGGCCCAGUAUUUUUGAUAAAUUGGGAAAAAAUCCCCAUUGAUUUUCACGGUGUUUGGAGUUGCGCAAAAUAGGUAUCUCAACUUUGCUCCACUUUCAGGCCAGAAUUCCAGUUGCCGGUAUUCUCCCUCUUCAUGUAAACCUUGCAAAAUAAGAGAGAAAAGGCAUAAGAAUAGUACCGUGGAGUGAAAUAACAGCCAAAGAAGCGAUAAAUAUCAACAUGAAAAGAUGAUGAAAAAUGGACGUAUCAAGGGGCAUUCGGUGCGCGGCACGGGGGAGCUCCGGUGGCUGGCAGCGCGGGCUGAGGGCGAGGGCGAGGGAUAGAGAUAGAGAGAUAGAGCGUGUGGUGUGGUGGGUGGGGGGCAGAGCCGACCAUUGGGGGAGAUAGGGGAGAGAGGGGCCUAACGGCGCGUGUUUGGAUAGGUGAGCUUUACCAUCCAUGACAGACGGUAGAGAGGUGGUGGGGUGGGGGUGGGUCGUCUGUUAGGCCAUAUCUUUGUCGUAUGCGUGCCCGCUAUUUGCCAUCCGCUGGCACACGACAAAGUGGGGGGGUCUCGGCCCUCUGCGAUCUGUCUUUCCCUUCUUUGCCAUCGACUAGCAGACGACAAAGACAUGAGUAAUGGCAAAAAGGCCCUUUGCCAUCAGCCAUAUCUUUGUCGUUUGUUUUCUGGAAGCUGACGACAAUUAGUCUCUUUGCCAUCAGCCAGCAGACGGCAAAAAACUGGCUGAUGGCAUCUGGAACCCUAUUCCUGUGCCCUAAUGGAGGGCGGUUGAUGUCCCACAAGCGUAUGGGAUCACAGCAGUUUUCGAGGGUAGAGUAUUCGACACAAAUUUAUUGAUUCGCCAAGAUGGGAAGCGAACGAAUAUUCUCAAGUAUUAGCAGCUGAAUGUGUGAGAUUCAACCACAUGUGAAAGAUUAGUGUCUGCAAGCAAAAGUAUCAGUAGCAAAGUAGUAUGAUAGCAAUGGUGCCAGAAACGAUCUAUUGACGGCAGACUAUUCCUAAUUGUUGUAUCAAUGGCGCUAGUAAAAAGAACGUUGACGGGGGACUAUUCUUCCCCAGCAACUGCUCUAGAAAAGGUCUUGCACUAAGUAGCAGAGUACCAAGGAACAUCAGUAGCAGCAAAGUAACAGCAGCAGCAAAGUGGCCCAAUCCCUUUUGUAGCAAGGGACAAGCCUAAACAAAGUAACGUAGCGAGAACCAGUAGUAAAAGACUCCUAGGCAGUGGAUCGGUGAUGGAUGAGUGUGACGGAUGUGAUUCAUCAUGCAACAGCUAUAACACGAAGAGAUAUGUAACUAGCUCCCGUUCAUCAAUCUAAUGUAGGCAUGUAUUCUAUAUGUAGUCAUACGUGCUUAGGGAAAAGAACUUGCAUGACAUCUAUUGUCCAUCCCUCCCGUGGCAGCGCGGUCCUAAUGGAAACUACGGGAUAUUAAGGUUCUCCUUUUAAUAAAGAACCGGACCAACGCAUUAAAACGCGGUGAAUACAUGAACUCCUCAUACUAUGGUCAUCUCUGGCAGUGGUCCCGGCUAUUGUCACUCCGGGGUUGCCGGGUCAUAUAACAUAGUAGGUGACUACAACUUGCAAGAUAGGAUCUAAAACACACAUAUACUGGCGACAACACAAUAGGUUCAUAUCUGAAAUCAUGGGACUCAGGCCCUAGUGACAUGCAUUAAGCAUAGCCAAGUAGUAGCAACAUAAAUCUAGAACAUAAUGGAUACUAGGGAUCAAUCCCCGUCAAGAACUAACUGGAUUACAUGAUAGAUCUCAUACAAUUCAUCACCGUCCAGCAAGCCUAUGAUGAUAUUACUCACGAACGAUGAAGAUCAUCAUGGAAUUGUCGAUGGAGAAAGGUUGAUGAUGACGAUGGCGACGAUUUCCCCUGUCCGGAGCCCGAAACGGACUCCAGAUCUGCCCUCCAGAUGAAGAACAGGAUGUGGCGGUGCCUCCGUAUCGCAAAAUGCGAUGAAACCUUCUCUUUGAUUUUUUUUCCAGGCGAAAUGGAAGAUAUAGAACUGAGAAUGGGGGCAGUGGUGCCACGUGGGCCCCACAAGCCUGCACGGCGCGGCAUUAGGGGUUGGCCGCGGCUUGUGGGCUUGUGGCCCACUCGCACGCCCCCUAUGGUGGAUCUUUGCGCAGGUAUUUUUCUUUUAUUCCAGAAAGAAUCCACGUAAAUUUUCAGGACAUUCCGAGAACUUUUAUUUCUACAUAAAAACAACACCAUGGCAAUUCUGCUGAAAACAGCGUUAGUCCGGGUUAGUUCCAUUCAAAUCAUGCAAAUUAGAGUUCAAAAAAGGGCAAAAGAGUUCGGAAAAGUAGAUACGACGGAGACGUAUCAACUCUCCCAAGCUUAAAGCCUUGCUUGUCCUCAAGCAACUCAGUUGACAAACUGAGAGAGACAAAAGAAAAACUUUGACGAACUCUGUUUGAUCUUGUUGUUGCAACCAUGUCUAACUCAUAACCAGAAUUUCAGCAACAUCACAAGCAAACCACAUAAGCAAAUGACAUCUAGGUCUCACGGUAAACUCAUAUCAAUGGCAUAAUCAACUGGCGAGAAAAUAAUAAUAAGCCUCAAGUGACAACACUUCAACCAAAACAACAUGAAGCAGUCCAAAUAGAUGGUAUCUCGCUAGCUCUUUCUGAGACCGCAAAACAUAAAUGCAGAGCACCUUCAAAGACCAAGGGCUGACUAAACAUUGUAAUUCAUGGCAAUGAAGAUCCAGUCAUAGUCAUACUCAACACAGUUAAAAGCAAAGCAUAAAAAUGAUAGAGGUGCUCUCUAAUUGGUGCUUUUGUAAGAGGAGGAUGAUUCAACAGGAACAUAAAUAGACAUGCCCUUCGCAGAGGGAAGCAUUGAUUUGUAGAAGUGCCAGAGCUCAAGCUUUGAAAACGGAGAUAAUAAUUUUGGGUGGCAUGCUUUCAUUGUCAACGCAAUGACUAAGAGUUCUCAACAUCUUCCACGCUACACAUGCUAUAGGGGGUUCCCAAACAGAAAAGUAAAGUUUUGACUCCCCCACCACCAAUCAAUCACACUCCACGGCUAGCCGAAUCGUCGGGUACCGUCCAUACCAACAACAAUCUUGGGGGAGUUUUGUUUGCAAUUAUCUUUUCGAUUUGAGCAUGGAACUGGGAAUUCCAAUUACCGGCCGCUUUCUCGUGAAUGAUAGUGAAUAUACACAUAUCGAGGAUAACACGCCUAGCAUGGAAGAUACCAAUAGCCCCCUGUCACCACAUGAGCGGUUCGGGCAUGCAAAACAGAUUAUUUCUUAAAGAUUUAGAGAGUGGCACAUGCAAAUUUACUUGGAACGACAGGUAGAUACCACACAUAGGUAGGUAUGGUGGCCUCAUAUGGCACAACUUUGGGUUUAUGGGAGGUGGAUGCACAAGCAGUAUUCUCGCUUUGUACAAGUGAAGGCUAGCAAAAGACUCGGAAGCGACCAACUAGAGAGCGACAACGGUCAUCAAAAUGCAUUGAGAGUAACUAACAUUGAGUGCAAGCAUGAGUAGGACACAGAUCACCAUGAACAUGAACAUCAUAGAGGCUAUGUUGAUUUUGUUUCAACUACAUGCGUGAACAUGCGCCAAGUCAAGCCACUUGAAUCAUUCAAAGGAGGAUACCAUCCUAUCAUAGUACAUCAUAGUCAUCUCAACAUUCAUGUUGGCAACCAAGACAAACCAUUAUAAGCUCCUAGUUAAGUAAGCAUGGCAUAAGAAACUAUGAUCUCUAAGUUGUCAUUGCAAACAUGUUUAUCUCACAACAAAGCUGAAUCAGGCAUGAUGAGCUAGUAAUAUUUACAAAAACAAAAUAGAUCGAGUUCAUACCAGCUUUUCCAGGCUCAGCCACUUCAUCAUAUAUCGUCCUUAUUGCCUUUCACUUGCACGACCGAACGAUGUGAACAAUAAUAAGAGUGCUCGUGCAUUGGACUAAAGCUGGAAUCUGCAGGCAAACACAAAGGAGAAGACAAAGUAAUAUGGCUCUUUGAAAGCUAAACAGGUAUGCAUGCAAGAGCCACUAAACAUUGUAACCAAUAUCUUCUACCUUGUCCCAAAGAAAAAUAAAAUUAUCUACACGGGAAAGCUCCCAACAAGCAAAAGAAGAAAAUAAGAUCUUUUUGGUUUUUCUCAAACUAGACAGACACACGAAAAGAAAACGAGAAAAAGAAAAUAAACUAGCAUGGAUGAUACAGUGGCAAAGUAUGAACACCGGCUAACAAAGUGAAAGCAUAAGCAAGAAUGUAAAGUCGGUGAGAACACGUACUCCCCCAAGCUUAGGCUUUUGUCCUAACUUGGUCUACUCCCAUGGAUGGUCCUGGCGAAACCCAAAAUCAUAAUGGGGGUUAUACGGGAGCGCUGCAGCCACUGCCUGAAUAGCCGCCUCACGGAGACGAGCAGCCUUUGCCUCCCUCUCAUACUCCUUUGCCUCUCCUCUAGUUAUGUAAUAUCUCCGUUUUACCUGAAAGUCAAAGAGAGCAGGAGCAGGAAGGGUAAUAUGGAAAACACGCUGUCGGUUAAAUAUCAAACGGUAUAGGAGGGAUUCGUCAUCCCUCUCAAGGAACUGGUAGUGUGUCAAAGCGACGCGAUCAAGGAAAGCUGUAUGGAGCGGGGAAUCUCCUUCGCGGAUGGGUAUUCCAAGAAAAUUUGCUAUGCGAGUGGCAUAGAUCCCACCAAAUAAAUCCCCUUCAAUAGCAUUCUUAUUCAGCCUCCUUGCUAUAUUAGCUCCCAUGUUGAAGGUUUUGUCACCUGUCACUCCGCUCUUAAGGAUACUAAGGUCGGAUGUGCAAAGGUGACAAUGUUCAAUCUUGCCACUAAUGCAUCUGCAUAUGAAGAGGGCAAAGUAAUGCAAGGCAGGAAAAUGAAUACUCCCCAUGGUAGCUUGCGUAAUGUCUCUACUUUCUCCAACCGUAAUACGAGCGCAAAAAUCUCUAACCGAAGAUUUAGGAGGAUCAUUGAGGUUACCCCAAAUAGGUAUUUUGCAAAUUCUACUGAAAUCCUCUAAAUCCAUGGUAUACGAUUUAUCAUAGAGAUCAAGCAGUACCGAUGGCUCACGGCCAGAUAAAAAUUUGAAUCUAGGAACGAAAGUGGCAGUGAGAGCAACAUAUUCUUCACAUUUAUCGAAGAUGAAUUCUUCGAGUCCGACAUUGUGAACAAGUGCAUCAAACUCAUCUUUGAAGCCUGCCUCAAUCAUAAAUUCACCAGAAGGCCAUUCACAUGGUUGAACCUGCACGUCCCUAGGUUGGUAAGGAUCAGGCUCCCGAAUCGCAAGAAGGGGACCUCUCUUGCUUGUGUUCAUCACCAGAUUGUGUCUCCGCAUCAGAGACAGAGGCGUCGUUUGGACUCUCAGGGGUAGCAGCAACAGGGUUGCUAGCGUGCAGGUUCCUAUCAUCUUUCUUCUUCUUUCUAGGAUGACUAGGUGCAUCAGUGCUAACUCCUUGAGAAUCUUGUUCAGUUCUCUUUGGAUGACCCUCAGGAUACAAAGGUUCGUGGGUCAUUGUACCGCCUCUAGUGACGACUCUGACAGAAUUGUCAUUCAACUCAUUGAGCAAGUCAUUCUAAGCUUUAAGUACUUGUUCUACCCGAGUAGAAACCAUAGAAGCAUGUUUACUCAGAAGCUUAAGAUCGUUGACGUUUCUUUCCACACAAGCACUUAAAUGACUAAGCAUACGAGCAUUCUGUUCCAAUUGUCUACUAACAUAAUCAUUGAAACUCUGUUGUUUGACAACGAAGUUAUCAAAUUCAUCCAUGCAUAGGCUAGUAGGUUUAUCAAAAGGAAUAUCACUCUCAUCAAACCUACGCAGAGAAUUUACUUCUACUACCUGUAUCGGGUUAUUCGAGACCAUGGAUCUCUUCGAUAGGUGGUAGAUUUUUGACAUCUUCAGAUUUAAUGCCUUUCUCUCACAUAGAUUUCUUGGCUUCUUGCAUAUCUUCAGGACUGAGGAAUAGAAUACCUCUUUUAUUCAUAGUUGGCUUAGGAGGUGGUUCGGGAAUAGUCCAAGCAUUCUCAUUGCACAAGAUGUUGUUCAGUAGAAUCUCAGCUUGUUCUACAGUUCGUUCCCUAAAGACACUACCGGCGCAACUAUCUAAGUGGUCUUUGGAAGCAUCGGUAAGUCCAUUAUAGAAGAUAUCAAGUAUUUCGUUCUUCUCAAGAGGGUGAUCAGGCAGAGCAUUCAGUAGCUGAAUGAGCCUCCCCCAAGCUUGUGGGAGACUCUCUUCUUCAACUUGAGAAAAGUUGUAUAUUUCCCGCAAGGCAGCUUGCUUCUUAUGGACAGGGAAAUAUUUUUCAAAGAAGUAGUAGACCAUAUCUUGGGGGCUACACACACAACCAAGAGCAAGAGAAGUGAACCAGGUUUUAGCAUCAUCCUUUAGCGAGAAAGGAAACAGCUUGAGCAUGUAGUAGUGGCAGAUCUUUUCCUCACAAGUGAAUAGGGUGGCUAUAUCGUGCAGUUUGGUAAGAUGGGCUACAAGCAUUUCAGACUCAUAACCGUGAAAAGGAUCAGAUUCGACCAUAGUGAUUAACACAGGGUCGACAGAGAAUUCAUAAUCCUUAUCGGUCACAAAGAUAGGUGAAGUGGCAAACUUCGGGUCGUAUUUCAUCCUAGCAUUCAGAUAUUUUUCUUUCCAUUUGCGCAGAAGUUUCUCAACAUCAUAGCUAUCCUUACACGCAAGAAAAUCCUCAGCUAUCUCUCCCUCCAUAACAUAGCCCGUAUCAAGCAUAACAGGCAAUUCAGGCAUAGUAGCAGGUUCUACUUCAAUAGUAUCAGCAGUUUCAGAAGUAUCAUCACAUCUAGCAGCAACUCUAGCAAUAUGUGCAUCAAGGAAUGCACCAAGUGGCAAAGCAGUAUCAGACAUAGCAUCAUCAGGCAUGGUAUCUAGCAUAGCAUCAUCAUGCAUAAUAUCUAGCAUAGCAUCAUCACGCAUAGUAUCAAGCAUAGCAUCAUCAGGCAUAGUAUCAAGCAUAUCAUCAUCAUGCAUAGUAUCUAGCAUAGCAUCAUCAUAAGCAUCAUGGACAGCAGAAGUAGCAUCAUCAAGCAUAGGCGACAUAUCAAGAUUUCUAGCAGGACGUGAAGUCGCAAACUUACUCAAAACUGAAGGUUAAUCAAGUGCAGAGCUAGAUGGCAGAUCCUUACCUCUCCUAGUAGUGGAAGGCAGGAUUUUGGUUCUUGGAUCUUUCGAAUUCCUCAUAGUGAUCAGCAGACGUCAAUCCCAAGUGACUCAAAGAAUAUAGCUGUGCUUCCCCGGCAAUGGCGCCAGAAAAAAAACUUUGAUGUCCCACAAGCGUAUGGGAACGCAGCAGUUUUCGAGGACAGAGUACUCGACCCAAAUUUAUUGAUUCGCCAAGACGAGAAGCGAAAGAAUAUUCUCAAGUAUUAGUAGCUGAAUGUGUCAGAUUCAACCACACCUGAAAGAUUAGUGUCUGCAAGCAAAAGUAUUAGUAGCAAAGUAGUAUGAUAGCAACGGUGCCAGAAACGAUCUAUUGAUGGCAGACAAUUCCUAACUGUUGUAUCAAUGGUGCCAGUAAAAAGCACGUUAACGGGGGACUAUUCUUCCCCAGCAACUGCUCCAGAAAAGGUCUUGCACUAAGUAGCGGAGUAGCAAGGAACAACACUAGCAGUAAAGUAACAGCAGCAUCAAAGUGGCCCAAUCCCUUUUGUAGCAAGGGACAAGCCUAGACAAAGUAACGUAGCGAGAACCAGUAGUAAAAGACUCGUAGGCAGUGGAUCGGUGAUCGAUGAGUGUGACGGAUGUGAUUCCUCUUGUAACAGCUAUAACACGGAGAGAUAUGUAACUAGCUCCCGUUCAUCAAUCUAAUGUAGGCAUGUAUUCCGUACGAAGUCAUACGUGCUUAGGGAAAAGAACUUGCAUGACAUCUAUUGUCCAUCCCUCCCGUGGCAGCGGGGUCCUAAUGGAAACUACGGGAUAUUAAGGUUCUCCUUUUAAUAAAGAACCGGACCAACGCAUUAACACGCGAUGAAUACAUGAACUCCUCAUACUAUGGUCAUCUCCGGGAGUGGUUCCGGCUAUUGUCACUCCGGGGUUGCCGGGUCAUAACACAUAGUAGGUUACUACAACUUGCAAGAUAGGAUCUAAAACACACAUAUAUUGGCGACAACACAAUAGGUUCAGAUCUGAAAUCAUGGCACUCGGACCCUAGUGACAAACAUUAAGCAAAGCCAAGUAGUAGCAACAUCAAUCUAGAACAUAGUGGAUACUAGGGAUCAAUCCCCGUCAAGAACUAACUCUAUUAUAUGAUAGAUCUCAUCCAACUCAUCACCGUCGAGCAAGCCUACGAUGAGAUUACUCAUGAACUAUGAACAGCAUCAUGGAAUUGUCGAUGGAGAAAGGUUGAUGAUGACGAUGGCGACGAUUUCCCCUCUCCGGAGCCCAAAACGGACUCCAAAUCUGCCCUCCGGAUGAAGAACAGGAUGUGGCGGCGCCUCCGUAUCGCAAAAUGCGAUGAAACCUUCUCUCUGAUUUUUUCCAGGCGAAACGGAAGAUAUAGAGCUGAGAUUGGGGGAGGUGGUGCCACGUGGGCCCCACAAGCCUGCACGGCGCGGCCAUAGGGGGUGGCCGCGGCCUGUGGGCUUGUGGCCCACUGGCACGCCCCCUCCGGUGGAUCUUUGCGCAGGUAUUUUUAUUUUAUUCUAGAAAAACUCUCCGUAAAUUUUCAGGACAUUCCGAGAAUUUUUAUUUCUGCAGAAAAACAACACCAUGGCAAUUCUGUUGAAAACAACGUUAGUCCGGGUUAGUUCCAUUCAAAUCAUGCAAAUUAGAGUCCAAAACAAGGGCAAAAGAGUUCGGAAAAGUAGAUACGAUGGAGAUGUAUCAGGGGUCGAUCAUGGAGAUCCUCUACAUCAACCUUGCUGCUCCCAUGAUGAUGUGUGAGUAGUCUACCAAGGAUUGACGGUUUGUAGUUUAGAACAUAGAUGUCUAUCUCUCNGAAAAUAAAAGGCAAACCUCUCUCUCUCUCUCUCGAUGUUAUUCAAUGCAAAGAUCAUUGUGAUUCCCGCAGUGAUCUAUCUUAUGAAAUCCUGUUUGCGGUGUGUUUUUUGGGAUCCGAUUAAUUGUGGGUUUAUGUUCAAAUUAUUCAUGAAAAUUAUUUGAGUCAAAUCUGAAUUCUUAUAUGCAUGAUCAAUUUGAAUAUCAAGAGAUUUAGUUGAGCAUGAAAAUUCCUAAAAUCAUAUUUGCCUCUCUCAUAAUAGUUAUAUGUAGGAUCAUGAUAAAAAUCAACAUCAUAUAAAAUAUUCUCUCAUGAUCCACAUGCAUACAAGUUUUAUAGUGUUCCAAGAUAGUGGGAUUAAUGUCAACUGAAGUCUUGACGUCUCCAAACCCACUUUUAUCAUUAUCAUGAAGAUCAUCUCUCUCCGAACAAUAGGGACUCCUUCUAUCUAAAUUUGAGUCAUCUUCAGUCCCUUUGUAUCAAAUUUUAUAUUACUAAACAAUGAUUCUGUAGGUUAAACACCAAUCGUUUAAUAUCUUCAUCAUGAUUACAUUAAAAAACGGGUGGAAUGGCCUUUUCUAGAAAUUCUCACUUAGCUUUCAACCUAGCGGUUCUCUCCUUACUUCCACUAAUAGACACUUGAAUAGAUUUAAUGGUCUCAUUUAUUUAAUUCUUAGGUGAUAAAAUUUUACUUUUAAGAGUUUCCACAUCAUGAGAAAUUAUAUCCAUGUUUCUAGCCAUAUCGUGAACUUUAUGUAGUUUUUCUUGUACCAUAGUGUUGAAACUCUUUUGAGAACUAAGAAAUUCUUUAAUUCGGUGCUCAAGAUCAGAGGGCAUCGUAUUAGUAUUGUUGUAUGCAUUACCAUAGAAAUUGCCAUAAUUAUUGGAGCGAUUACCAAGAUAUGGCCUAGGAUUAGAAUUCCCUCUAUAAGCAUUGUUUUUGAAAUUAUUUCUAGAGAUAAAGUUCACAUCUAUAGCACCAUUAUUUUGCUCAAUCAAAGUAGAUAGUGGCACAUCAUUAGGAUCGACAUGAGCAUUUUUAUUAGCAAACAUAUUCAUAAGAGCAUCUGUCUUAUCACUCAAAGUAGUACUUUCUUCGACAGAGUUUACCUUUUUACCAGUUACACCACUCCCGAUGUGCCAUUAAGAAUAAUUUAUCAUCAUAUUGUCAAGAAGUUUUGUAGCUUCUCCCAAGAAGCUUCUACCAAUGUAAUUCCCUUAGAAGUAGCACCUGCAACAGAGUCGAGAAGAUUUCUUGAAAUAAAAUUCAGUCCUGCAUAGAAGUUUUGGAUUAUCAUCCGUAAGCUUACACCAUGAGUGGGAUAGUUUCUAAUCGUUAAUUUCAUUCUCUCCCAAGAUUGGGCGACAUGUUCUUGCUCAAGUUGCUUAUAGUUCAUAAUUUGGUUUCUAAGAGAAAUAAUCUUAGCGUAAUUUGAUUUAUAAGAGAACUAAUCUUAGGAGGAGGAAAAUAUUUGGCAAUAAAAGCAUCCUUACAUUUAUCCCAUUAAUCAACACUACUGCAAGGUAAAUAUAAAAACCAAGUUUUAGCAUGUUCCCAUAGCAAGAAAUGAAAUAAUUUCAGUUUAACAAUGUCAUUAUCAACAUAUUUUUUCUUUUGCAAAUCACAUAGUUCAACAAAUGUAUUAAGAUGGGAAGCAUCAUUCUCAUUAGGAUUUACAGAAAAUUAGUCUUUCAUAACAAGAUUUUCCAAGGCGACAUUAAUAUGGGAAAGUUCUACACUAGUGGUGGGUGGUAUCGGAGUACUAGUAAAAUCAUUGUUAUUAGUAUUUGAGAAGUCACACAAUUUGGUAUUUUCUUGAGACAUAGUGGCAGAGCAAGUAAACUAGAGAAUAGAAAUAUUUUUGUGUUUUUUAUUUUUAUAGACAAGGGGAAGGAGAUGAAAAAGAUAUGACAAUAAAAAGGCAAAUGAGAAAAGCAAAUAAAAAGUAGAGCUUAUUGUGAGCCAAAACGGUGCCAGAAAUUAUUUCUGCUACUUGUGAGCUGCGUUGGGUUUUUCCCCGGAGAGGAAGGGUGAAGCAAUAUAGUAUUUCCCUCAGUGAGAACCAAUGUUAUUGAACCAGUAGGAGAACCACGUAAAUUCCCAUCUUACUUAACUACACACAAAAAUCAACACUUGCACCCAACACGGGCAAGAGGGUUGUUAAUCCUCUUAAACUCAUUACUUGCAAGGAUUAUUUCUUAUAGUGAUAGAUAUGAUAAAAGGAAAGUAAAAAAACAAAGUAAUAAAAGGCAGCGAGGCAUUCAUGUUUUUAGCAAUAUGAUUCAGUAGACCCGGGGGCAUAGAUUUCACUAGAGGCUUGUCUCUCGAACACAUAGCAUAUGGUGGGUUGACAAAUUACUGAUGGGCAAUUGACACAAAAGCGCAUAGUUAUGAUGUUAUUCAUGUCAAUGAUCAUGUAUAUAGGUAUCACGUCCAUAAACAAGUGGACCAAAAUGAUUCUGAAUCUACUACUAUUAUUCCACCAAUCGACUGCUAUCCAACAUGCAUCUAUGGUAUUAAGUCCAUGACAAAUAGGGUAACGCUUUAGGCAAGAUGACAUGAUGUAGAUAAAGUAAACCGAAUCAAUAUGAAUAAACGACAUCAUUUUAUCCUUAAUGGCAACAAUACAAAUGUGUGUCGUGUCCCCUUUUUUCACUAGGACAUAGAGCAUCGCAAGAUUGAACCCAUUAUGAUGCACCACCUACACUGAAGAUAAAUCAAUCUAGUUGGCUGAUGUCUACUAUGCAACUUUAUUCUUGUAGAUGUUGUUGGGCCUCCAUGUGUAGAGUUUUGUAGGACAGCCGCAAAAUUCCUUCAAGUGGAUGACCUAAGGUUUAUCAAUCCGUGGGAGGUGUAGGAUGAAGAUUGUCUCAUUCAAACAACCCUGCAAUCAAAUACAAGAAAUCUCUUGCAUCACCAACACACCCAAUACAAUUGAAAAUUGUAUAUGUGCACAUGUGUAGUAUGGAUAGAAAAAAUAGAUUUUUAUAAUCUGAAUAAAUAAAAACAGCAAUGUAACAAGUAGUAAACAACAAGAAAAACGGUAUAUUAAUGCUUAGAAACAAGGCCUAAGGUUAAUAAAACAAAGAACUUCAAAGAGUACCCCAAGAUUUCUAUCAGAUAAAGUAGGAUGAAAAUGUGCAAUCAACCCCUAUGCAUAGAUCCCCAAGGUCAUCGGAAUCUGCAAGUGGACGCCAUAACAUAUAUGAAGUAAAUCAAUAGAAUACCGCAUUGUCUACAUGGGUAUCCACAUGCAAGACAUUCAUCAAGUGUUCUCAAACCCAAAAUAUUUAGUCCAACAUAAAGAGAUUCCAAAGGGAAAGAUUCAUUUCAUCACAACAAGAUGGAAAUGGAACAACACCAUAUGAUACAACUAUAUUAACAAAGCCCACGAUACAUCAAGAUUGUGCCAUCUCAAGAACACGAGAGGGAGAGAGAGAGAGAGAGGUUUGCCUUUUAUUUUCUCUCGUUUNUAGCUACUGGUACAUACCCUCGGCCACGAGGGUGAACUAAUCCAUCCUCGUCAUGGCCUCCGCCGAGAUGACGAGCAUGGCUACCGAAGAUGAUUUCCCCCUACGACAGGGUAUUGGAAAGGCUCCACAUGGGUUUUUCUUUAAUACAGAGAGUUGCGGCGGCGGAGCAGAAGUUCUAGGUUAACUUUCAGGGGGUUAUAGAUUUAUACGAAUUUUCAACAUUGGAAUCAUGUCAGCUGGAGCCACGUGGGCCCCACAAGCUAACACGAUGCACCCAGGGGGUGGGUGCGCCAUGUUGUAUUCUAGCCCACAGGUGGCUCCCCUCCAAUGGUUAUUCGCUCCGGUAUUUCUUAUUUUCCCUAGAAAAAAUCAUAAAAAAAGUGUUAGGCAAUUCCGGAAACUUUUAUUUUCUGCACAAAAACAACACCAUGGUAAUUCUACUGAAAACAUCGUCAGUCUGGGUUAGUUCUAAAUAAGUAAUAUAAAGUCCAUCAAAAUCGUAUAAAUUUAUUGUAAACAUAGGUAAAUAUGGCAUGGGUACUUCAUAAAUUAUAGAUAUGUUGGAGACAUAUCACUAGCCAAACCAAAAAGAUAGAUUAGAGAGAAAUACGAAGCAAUAAAAAGCUUGCAUAAUAAAGUUUAGAUUUGAAUCAGUUAGUUUAAAUGAAUAAUAUGAUUAUAAGCGCACAAUUCAUCGGAUCCCAACAAACACACCACAAAAUAAGAUUACAUUGGAUAGAACUCCAAGGAGAUCAAGGAGAACAUUGUAUUGAAGAUUGAAGAGAGAGAAGAGGCCAUCUAGCUACUAACUUUGGACCUGUAGGUCUAUGUUGAACUGAUAUGUCUCCAACGUAUCUAUAAUUAUUUAUGGUUCCAUGCUAUUAUCUUGUCAAACUUUGGAUGUUUUGUAUGCCUUUUAUAUCUUUUUUGGGACUAACUUAUUAACUCAGUGCCAAGUGCCAGUUCCUGUUUUUUCCGUGUUUUUGACCCUUUUCACAAGAGGAUUUUAAACGGUGCCCAAACGGAAUAAAACUUCUGAAAAUAUUUUUCUAGAACAAAAGAUAUGCAGGGGACAUGAGAACAAAGGCAGAGGCCACCAGGGGAGGCCACAAGCCCCCUAGGCGCGGCCAGGGAGGGCCCGCGGCUAGCAGGCUUCUGGCCCCCCUGUGGCUCGUCUGCCCUACCUCUUCCGCCUAUAAAUUCCCCUAAAAUCCAAAACUGCGAGAGAGAUCCACGAAAAAACUUUUCCGCCGCCGCAAGCUUCUGUCUCUGCAAGAUCCCAUCUGGGGCACGGUCUGGUGUCCUUCUGGAGGGGGGAUUCGGAUACGGAGGGCUUCUUCAUCAACACCAUGGCCUCUCCGAAGAUGCGUGGGUAGUUCACCAUAGACCUUCGGGUCCAUAGCUAGUAGCUAGAUGGCUUAUUCUCUCUCUUGGAUCUUCAAUAAAAAAUUCUCCAUGAUCUUCAUGGAGAUCUAUCUGAUGUAAUCUUCUUUUGCGGUGUGUUUGUCGAGAUCCGAUGAAUUGUGGAUUUAUGAUCAUAUUAUCUAUGAAGCUUAUUUGAGUGUCUUCUAAUCUCUUAUAUGCAUGAUUUCAUAUCCUUGUAAUUCUCUUCGAGCUGUGGGUUUUGUUUGGCCAACUUGAUCUAUGAUUCUUGCAUAGGGAGAAGAGCUUGGUUUUGGGGUCAUACCGUGCGGUGACCUCACCCAGUGACAGAAGGGGUAUCGAGGCACGCAUCGUGUUGUCGCCAUCAAAGUUAUGAAGAUGGGGUUUACAUCAUUGGUUUGAGUUUAUCCAUCUACAUCAUGUUAUCUUGCUUAAGGCGUUACUCUGUUCGUCAUGAACUCAAUACACUAGAUGAAUGCUGGAUAGCAGUCGAUGUGUGGAGUAAUAGUAGUAGAUGCAGAAAGUAUCGGUCUACUUGUGUCGGACGUGAUGCCUAUAUGUAUGACCAUUGCCUUAGAUAUCGUCAUGACUUUGCACGGUUCUAUCAAUUGCUCGACAGUAAUUUGCUCACCCACCGUAAUAUUUUCUAUUUUGAGAGAAGCCUCUAGUGAACACUAUGGCCCCGGGUCUACUUCACAUCAUAUUUUCAGCCUUACACUUUUACUUCGUUGCACUUUCUGCCUUCAGAUGUCACUUUGCAAUCCACCUUGAAGGGGUUGACAACCCCUUUAUAGCGUUGGGUGCAAGCUUGUUUGUGUUUGCGCAGGUACUCUGGACACUUGGCCUGAUUCUCCUACUGGAUUGAUACCUUGGUUCUCAAAACUGAGGGAAACACUUACUGCUCCUGUGCUGCAUCACCCUUUCCUCUUCAAGUGAAAAACCAACGCAAGCUCAAGAGGCAGCAGAAGGAUUUCUGGCGCCGUUGCCGGGGAUUUCUGGCGCCGUAGUUGAAGGAUUUCUGGCGCCGUUGCCGGGGAGGAUCAAGUCAAGAACUCAUCUAAGUAAGUGUCGCAAACUCAUCUCUUGCAUUUACUUUUUUGUCUCUCGUUUUCCUCUCCCCCACUUCUGAAAAACAAAAAUUUACAAAAAUAUUUGCCUUUUUCGUUUGCCUUUCCUUUGCUUGUGUGCUAUGUGCCUUCAAUAUGCUUGCAUCUUUGCUUGCUGAAAAUCUAUUGAUUUGGAUCCUCAUCCACUUGCUAAUCUCUUUAAGAGAUCCAAGUAUGUUGAACCAAUUGCUAGUGAGUUGAGUGCAAUUGACUUUUUCUAUGGAGUUUUGCUUGAGAUGCGUGAAUCUGAAAAUCGUGAUGAAGAAAUUUAUGAAGUGAUUCACGAGGUCUCCUUGAAUGAAAAGCAUGAUUGCAAUGGUUUCAUUAUAAAUUCUAUUAAUGACAAUCAUGCUAAAAAUAUGCAAAACCCUGAGCUUGGGAUGCUAAUUUUGCUAUGUCCACUACUUGUUGCAAUGAUCGUGAUUGGGGUAAUGGUCUUGAAAAUUUGUUUAAACCUCAUGAUGAAUAUGAUAUUUGCAAUAAUAUUGAAAGUGGGUUUGGAGAAGUCAUGACUUUAGUUGAUGAUAAUCUGUGGGGACCCCGACUAGCAAGUCGAGUUCGCCAUGCCCAGUGACCCCAAGGAUCAAUGUUCACUGAACACAGAUACCGAAUAAUAGAGUCUUACAUCCAAGUACCGAAAUUAUUACAUCAAACGACCAGAAGGUCGGGUUCAAGAGCGAGGCCUAAGGCCAAAUUAAACAGAUACAUCGAGUAGCGGAAACUCGUAAGGGCUAAGUGAUGCUCAUGCCAUCAAGCCUACACCGUCAGGCAUUCUGACUUGGAAGCGUCCUAGAUCGCAGGUUCGUCUCCGACGGCAUACUCAUUGCCAAACUCAGGUCCUUCCAUGUCUGGUCAAUAAUAUAACCAGUGGAAAGCCAAUGAGUACUUUUUAUGUACUCGCAAACAGCCCGUGAUAUGAACAUUUAUAGUGAAGAAUAACAGUAACAUGCAUCUUUAGUGGAAUGCAAUUUGGUGGAAUGAUCAGGUAUAUGCAACAAGUUAAAGAAUUACUCUUGAAGAACAGGUUACAGAUAUCAACAUAUCUGCUAAGGGUUGAACACACCGGGUUCACCCUAUAUGCCAAGUCAUCGGACUUGUCAUAACCUCAAUGUAUUAAUGAGGGCUAAACCAUCCGGGUUUACCCUAUAUGUCAAGUCACGGAACUUGAUCAUAUUAUUGUGAUUAUCAUAACAACACCUUUUUAACACCAUACACACACUCACUCUUAGUUUAUGCGGAAACGCUGGACGUAGUUUAAGCAGCACCACCCAACUUUCCUUGACCGUGGACACGGCUAUUCGAAUAGUUUACACUCUGCAGAGGUAGUACGCUGGACCCACGAGAAACGGGAAACUUCCAUGUCAUCCACGACUCGCGGUAUAUCACAUAUACCCGAGGUAAGUACCCGAUCAUCAUCUUUCCCCUGACGAUACUAGACAAAGAGGUCCACUCAAUUGGUACCCAGCCCACAUGUUGUACAUCUUACGAGAACCGACUCUGGACUGUAUCAACCAUGCAGGGACCAACGGUGUGCCUGGAACUCAUAAUAAUGGCAUAGUCGUCCUACCUGGCACGACCCCAUCACGAGAGUGACACCGAUCACUCCCGCCACUAGUAAUGUGUCUCUUUGCUAGUACCGACCAGAGUAAUCAACAAAGCCCUGUCCCAUAAAGGGGUAUCGUGGUCAUACUGGUAAGGUUGGGACGGUCGAGACAUCAUAAAUCUAAUCCCAUUUCCGAAACCAUACUCACACAAAAUCACCCGUGCAUCACUUCACCAAAAGUGAUCACCAACUCAUCAUCACCCUCGGGCAUUAGUGGCACCCGACGGGGUUUUCAUAAACUCUUUAUUUAACUCAUCAUCAUGCUUGUGAUAAUAUGCUCUAUCAUUACUUGUCAACAUGGUAAUAAUAUGACCCUCAAGGGGUAGGGUCAAGCUCAAUGCAAUGAUCUUACUCUACUAGUCAACAUGACAGUAGCAUGAUCCUCAUAGAUGGUAGGGUCAAGCUCAUCAUGCUUGUGCUCCGAGGAGCCAUAUGAAUAAAAUCACUACCAUGCAAGUGCUUCGAAGAAGCCUUCGGUACCAUCACAUCAAUGAUGAACCGGCACUGUGAUCACAUGCAAUGGGAAAAUACUUGCUAUUCUAGCAUGGAUCAUUUCAUAUGCUUAAGUCAUGGUCAAAGGGCUGCUUGCCUUGGUCAGCUAGGUAUCCGGGGUCUUCGAGGUCUUCCGCUCCGCAUCCUCCAUCACUCGGUAACUCUACCGCCGAAAAAGGAAUAAAUAAAUAAUGGCACUCACUAAAACAGAUCAUAAAGUGCUUUUAAAAAUGUUGCAAAGCUUGAAUAAAUUCAGUUUAUUAUUUUGGAAAAUGUUUCCUAUAGUUUUUAUUAGCUAAGCAUAUUUAUUUAAAAGAAAACAGAAGCAAACAAAUGCUUUUAAUAUCAUUUUAUUAUACCAAAAUAGUUUCUGUUUUUUGAUAAAUGUCAAACUCUACAGAAUUAAUUACUACACAUUUUUAGAAAAUUGCUGGUGGAAGAAUCAUAUUUUUCUACUGGCUAAAUGUUUUUAUAAAAAUCAUUGAAGUUGCUGGAUUAAAAUAAAAGGAAAAAGGCCAUGGGAAAAGAUCCAGCCGGCCUAGCCAGCAGGCCUGGCCACCAAGCACGCGCGCGCCAGGUUCAAACCUGACCUGCGGGCCCCUGGGGUCAGCGGCUGCACGCGCUGGCUGCCCAGGACACCGACAGGUGGGCUCCACCUGUCGGGUCCUUCUCCUACCUCCAGCCAGAGAGGUGGAGACGGACGCUGGCGAGGCUGUCGUUGUCCUUAGGCCAAUCUAGGAGCGGGAACGGGUCCCUCGUUCCUCCGCCUACCUGCUCAGGGUCGGGACGUUGCCGGAGGUGGGCUCGGUCGCCGGCGAACGUGGCAGAAGGGUUUCAGGUCGGCGUUGAACUAGUGGCUAGGGGCACGGAUUUGCUCAGGAAAGUUGGGGGAAAUGGUCUUGGCGUCAAGGGCAGUGUAAUGGGAGGUCGGGCAGCGCAGGAGCCGACGUGUAGCCAGAGAUCGACCAGAGCUCCGAGGCGGAGGGGCCUCGGUCGAUCUCGACCACCGGGGCUCUGCGAGCUCGAUUGGGUGGCUAGGGGGUGUCUACUGGUUGUGCUAAAGCUGCUCGAAGGGUGCUGGGGUGCCGGGGGGACCUAUUUAUAGGCCAGCAACGGUGACCCGACUCGGGCGCGUCGGUGACUAACCGUGGCGCGCGUGCGAGCAUAGUGAGGUGCUGGCCACGAAACCAAGGGUUCGGGACGUGGUUUAGGACCUCCUGGUGCAUCGGCCGCAGAGGGAAAGCGAGUGGGGUCGAGCCGCAGCGACCGUGCAUGCUCGGCCGCGUCGGGCGCGCACGUGCACGCGUCGCCUGAGCUCUUGCGUGAGGGGAGAGGGUCCCUGGGGGUAGCUUUGCACUGAAUAGUUGUCGGGGGAGCGUUUGGACAUUACUGGGGAGGUUGGGGCCGGCCGGGGCGUCGUCCCCUUGCUGGAGGCUCUCCGGAGCGCGCCCAGAGCGCAGUUUUGGCAUGCCACGGUGUGCUGGCGCGCUCUGAGGCACUUGGGACGUGUCCUCCAUGUCCUAAGUGCUGCUGGGAGUGAGCCUUGCCGUUGUGGGUUAGUGGGAGCUCGAGCUGGUCAAGGGAGCAAGGAACACUAGUGUUGCCAGUACUGCCCUGUGGCUCAAAUUGAAGUUCUUGUCACUUGUGCUUGGAGUAGGGGACGGGCUGAUUGACAGGGUGCUCAGGGUGUUCUGGGGCUCUAACCCACCAAGUUUGGGACCUUAACAUUGGGUAAAACAGUGGCUAGGAGGAUUUUUACCUUCCUGUCAGUAGGUGUUCGACAGUGACUUGGGGUGCUUCCACUCCACCACUGUAACUGAAACUUAACAGGUUUGGUCAUGGGAUAAAAACAUGGGGUUUCACCAAAUUUGAGCUCCAUUGAACAAGUUUAGCUUUGUAAACUUGAAAAUGUCUCAAAAUGACCAGUACUGUCCUUUACAAAGGAAGUGUGGCCAAACAGAGUCUCACAAAUCCCAUCUUUGGUGUGGAGUCCUCAUUUGGGGUGUUAAACACCUGUGCAAAGUUUCAGCUCCAUUGGAGAAACUUUGCAAUAUAGAGUUGUUCCAACUUUUCUCUGGACAGAGAGGGUUUUGGGCUCAUUAGGUGCACUUCCCCUACUUGGAUCAAGGUGAGAUUUUAUGUGAGCACCUAAUAUGGCUUGAGAGGGCUCCUGUAAUUUUAUGGGAAUUUACUGAGAUAAUUUCCUUUGGAAACAUCUCAAAAAGCUAAAACAGACAGAAAUGGUUUUCAGGGUUUUACUCAAAUAAUAUUAAUAUAAAAUAGGGUUGAAAAUCUUGUAUAUGGAAAAUAUAUGUCCUUCUCAGCUUCCAUGAAUUUACUCAGAAUUUUCUAAGGCAGGAAAGUAAUUUUCCUAGUGGGAAUAUCAUUACUGGCCUUAGAAACAGACAUAGAUAUAAAAUAGGAAAAUAAUAUUUUAUAUCACCAAUUAAUGUUUUUAAUGAAUGAAAAUAAUAUGUGAAUCAGAGCACCAACUUUGGUUGGAAGUGUCACUUGGCUUCAUGAGCUAGUAGUGUAUCCCAACAUGAUGAAGGUGAUCUUGAUAUAAAGGAAAAAAGGGGUUUUGAAGAGAGCAAAAUAAUAAGUUUUUCAUGGGUUUGAAUCAUCAAACAAGCAAGCAUUCAUUCAAACAAGGGUUUACAUUGCACUCACAAUAUUAUUUGAAAAAGUUUUAACAAGCUCUGAUUUUUGCAACAUAAGAUACUUGUGGUGAAAAACAGGGUGUGACAGACCUAUCCCUCUUACAAGAAUCUCAUCCCCCAGAUUCCUAAGCUAAGCGUUAAAUAGCUCGGGAAAUUCUGAUCGGAGAUAGUCUUCACGUUCCCACGUGGCUUCUGGUUCGGUAUGGUUGCUCCACUGAACCUUGAAAAACUUGAUGGUGCAGCUUCCGGUGCAACGCUCGGCUUCAUCCAAAAUGCGGAUCGGUCUCUCGCGGUAGGUAAGGUCCGGUUGAAGGUCAAUAGCUUGAUGAUCAAUGUCCUUGUAAAGAUCGGGACGGUUCGGCACUUGUAAACACUUCAGGAGUUGUGACACGUGAAACACGUUGUGCACACCCGAAAGCUCAGGAGGUAGCUCCAACUGAUAAGCUACUUCCCCGCGCCUUGCCGUGAUCUUGAAGGGUCCAAUGAACCUUGGAGCUAGCUUCCCCUUGACGUGGAAACGCUUGGUCCCCUUGAGAGGCGUGACUCGCAAGUACACCUGGUCUCCGGGAACAAACUCCACGUUUCUGCGGCGAGCGUCCGCAUAGUUCUUCUACCUUGAGUUAGCUGCCUCCAAGUUCUCUCGGACAAGCUGAACCUUGUCCCGUGCUUCCUACAGUGCUUCUUGUCCGAAAACUAGUCCUUCACAGGUUUCGGACCAAUUAGGCGGGGUGCGGCACUUCCGCCCAUAUAACGCUUCGAAUGGGGCCAUCUAAAGACUGGACUGGUAGCUGUUGUUGUAAGAAAACUCAGCAAACGGCAGGCAAUCUUCCCACUUGGCACCAUGAGCCAAAACACAAGCGUGGAGCAUGUCCUCAAGUAUCUGGUUUACCCUCUCGGUCUGUCUGCCCGUCUGCGGGUGGAAAGCCGUACUGAAGGAGUGUUUGGUUCCGAGAGCUUCUUGAAACUUCUUCCAGAAUCUUGAGGUGAAUUGCGUGCCGCGGUCGGACACGAUCUCCUUGGGAACUCCAUGGAGACUCACCACUCGAUGAAUGUACAGACUGGCCAGCUGGCUGCCAUCGUAGGUGGUGUUAACGGGAAUGAAAUGGGCCACCUUGGUCAAAUGAUCGACUAUGACCCAAAUGGAGUUAUGACCCUUAUUUGACCAGGGCAACCCGGUGACGAAGUCCAUGCCGACUUUAUCCCACUUCCAUUCCGGCACUUGAAGAGGUUGGAGAAAUCCAGCAGGUCGCUGGUGUUCAGCCUUGACUCGCUGGCAUACAUCGCAUUUAGCGACAUAGGAGCCAAUUUCUCUCUUCAGGCCAUGCCACCAGAAUCGUUCUCGGAUGUCUUGGUACAUCUUGGGACCACCUGGAUGGAUAGAGUACGGUGUGUCAUGAGCCUCUUGCAGGAUCAAGUCCUUAAGUUCGGCCUUCUUAGGUACGCAUAAGCGCUUCCCGUACCACAUUACUCCUUGCUCAUCAAUCGAGAAUCCUGGGGCUUUGCCUUCUCGCACCUUCCUCUUGAGGCCUUCGAUACUCUUGUGCCCCUUAUGGGCUUCCUUGAUGUCAUGUGCCAGAGUAGGCUUGACUUCGAGGUUGGCCAGGUAUCCUGGUUUGACUAUCUCAAGCCCGAAGUCCUCCAUCACUUCAUACAAGACGGGUAACCUUUCCUUGAGUGUGACGUUCAAGGAACCUGCCUUCAGGCUUAAUGCAUCGGCUACCACGUUCGCCUUGCCGGGAUGAUACUGAAUGCUGAGGUCGUAAUCCUUGAUUAACUCAAGCCAUCUCCGCUGCCUCAUAUUCAGCUCCCUUUGAGUGAAGAUAUAUUUCAGACUUUUGUGGUCUGUAUUUAUCUCACAUCGCUUCCCCAGAAGGUAAUGUCGCCACGUCUUCAGAGCAUGCACUACAGCUGCUAGCUCGAGAUCAUGGGUGGCGUAGUUCUCCUCAUGCGGUCGCAGUUGUCGUGACAAGUACGCCACGACCCUGCCAUCUUGCAUCAGGAUUCCACCGAGCCCUGUUCCAGAGGCAUCACAAUAUAUCACGAAUUCCUUGUUGAUGUCUGGGGUAGCCAAUACCGGGGCGGUAGGUAGCCUCUUCUUCAACUCCUGGAAGCUUGCUUCACACGCCGGUGUCCACUCGAACUUCCGGCCUUUCUUCAAGAGCUGAGUCAUCGGCCGUGCGAUGCUGGAGAAUCCCUCUACAAACUUGCAGUAGUAUCCCGCGAGCCCGAGGAAACUCCUGACAUCCUUCACGUCCUUUGGUGAUUCCCAGUUGGUCACUUAGUAAUCUUGGACUGAUCUACGGCCAAACCGCGUGCCGUCAGGGUAUGACCCAGAAAUCCAACUUCGUUCAGCCAGAACUAACACUUGCUGAAUUUGGCAUAAAGCUGGUGCUCUCGAAGCUUUCCCAGAACUAGCCUCAGGUGUUGCUCAUGCUCCUCUUCGAACUUGGAGAAGAUUAAUAUGUCAUCGAUGAACACGACGACAAACUUGUCCAAAUAUUCCAUCAAGACCUUGUUCAUGAGGUACAUGAAGUAGGCUGGGGCAUUUGUCAAACCGAAGGGCAUGACAGUGCAUUCGUAUAGACCGUACCGGGUCACGAAUGCAGUCUUGGGUAUAUCUUCAGGUCGAAUCUUCAACUGGUAAUAUCCCGAUCGAAGAUCAAUCUUGGAAAAUACCCUGGCCCCGUUUAACCUUUCAAACAGGUCUUCGAUCUUGGGGAGCGGGUACUUGUUCUUAAUUGUGACUUCAUUAAGAGAACGGUAAUCGACGCAGAGUCGAAUGGUACCAUCCUUCUUUGAAACAAAUAGAACAGGUGAUCCCCAAGGUGAUGCACUCGGACGGAUGAACCCUUUCCUGAGUAGCUCAUCCAGCUGCUUCUUCCGCUCUGCCAGCUCUUCCGAACCCAUCCUGUAAGGCUUUUGGUAUAUAGGCCUUGAUCCGGGCAUGAGCUCGAUGAUUAACUCGAUGUCUCGGUCAGGAGGCAUUCCGGGUAGCUCGUCAGGAAAGACGUCCGGGUAUUCACAGACUACAGUCACUUGAUCAAGCUCUACCUCGGAUAGACUGUUGACUCGAGGCACUUGAGCCGAUACUGGCUCGGAGACAAACUUGACCUUGACCCCUUGGUUGCUUGUCAUGGUAAUGGCCCUGUUGGCACAGUCCAAAAGACUCUGGUGCUUGGCCAACCAAUCCAUGCCGAGGAUUACUUCCACACCUUGCGAUUUAAGCACAAUGAGGUCUGCCAAGAAACUCGUCCCAUUGAUAACUAUCUCGACCCUUCUACACCCUAGGUUGGUCCUCAAUACUGCUCCCGGGGUUUGAAUUGCCAUCUUUCCAUGGAGUAGAGUGAGUUUUAAACCACACUUUUCUGCAAACCCUUGAGUAACAAAAGAAUGCGAGGCACCACAAUCAAACAACACUGUUGCUGGAGUUGAGUUCACGAGGAACGUACCCAGAAUGCAGUCCGGGUCUUCCUGCGCCUCUUCUGCGGUGAUGUGACUGAUCCGGCCCCUGCCAUUAAACUGUUGGUUGCGGGGGGCCUGGUUCCUUCCUGGUGCACCUUGACCGGGGUUGGGUGCAUUGGGACGCCGUGCGUCAGGCUUCUUGUUGGGGCAACUGACUAGAAUAGUGCCCGGUCUGACCACACGCAAAGCAGGUGACUUGCCCCGGAGGGUUGGUCUUGACCCCACCGUUGUUCGGCGGGUUGACUACUGGCUUGGCUUGCUGCUAAGGCUGAUAAUUCUGGCGGAACUCCGGAUACUUGUACUGCUGCUGCUGAAAGUUGGGUCUUGCAGGUGCUGACUGCCAUGAUCUUAGUCUUGCGCUACUGGGUCCUCCACUGCCUAUGAGUUUGCGCUUGCGGGUGUCGUCCAUCGCACGACGCUUGUCUUCCAGCAUAAGCGCCUUGUUAACCAACUCGCUGAAAGUCUGGCAGUCGCAAACCACCAGCUGGUAUUGCAGGGACUGCUGUAACCCUUCCAUGAAGCGUUCCACCAUAGCAGCCUCAGUGUUAACAUCUUCAGGCGCGUACCUCGACAAGAGGUUAAACUUCUACAGGUACUCCUUAACAGUUCCACUGCCCUGCCUCAAGGCUCGGAAUUCCCGCUUCUUAAUGGUGAUCAGUCCAGGUGGAAUGUGAGCCACGCGAAAUUCUUCCUUGAACAUCACCCAAGUGAUGACUUGCCCUAUCCGCAUGAUCUGGAAUCCAUCCCACCAUGCCCUGGCGGUGCCUCCGAGACAGUGAGAAGCAUAAAGGACUUUCUCAUGAUCGUCGGUGCACUUGACCAGCGCAAGGAGGUCUUCAAUGGUGCGAAUCCAGUCAUCGGCGUCCAGUGGUUCAGUCGUCUCCGUGAAUAUGGGGGGCGUAGUCCGCAUGAACUCAGAAAGAGUAGAGCGACCACCGCCAUUCCCAUUCCGCGGCGGGUUGUCAACCAGGACUUGAGUCAUCUGCUGUAUAGAGGCAUUGCUGGCUUGACGCUCCUCCCGAAGAGCUUGAAAGAACUGAGCCAUCGUCAAGUUCUCAGGAGGAGGUGGUGGCGGAAGGUCUCUAGACUGCUCGUGGUGACCUCCAGCGUGAGCUUCUCCUUCGGUUCCCUACAGCGUCCCUGAGGAGCCGGCGCCGGGGUUGCCGAAGGUGCUGUUGCAUGUUGUGUUCACCAUCCUGUCAUGGAAACAGACAUGUCAAAAUGCCACCUUGCUCGGGAAUACAAGGAUUCGCUCCUAGUAAGAGGGGACCAAUACGUGCAUGUGCCAAGUUUUCAAAACCAAAGUUUUUGACAAACGGAAAUUUGCAUUCAUAAAAACUAGGUGAUGUAGUCACUUACAGGCUGCCUAAGCCAAUAUGUGACUUACAUCAUGCACACAUACGCAAAUUAGAAACGGAUACAUGGAUACCCUAUGCUCGGGGUACUCCUAAUUGCCUACGCUAAAUCCUACACGGCGGACUGCUCCGUCUCAAAGGCGGACUCUACAGGAUCCUCAUCUUCAUCAACAUCUUCUUCCUUUAUAGGAGUGGAAGAAAUAAUCCGCACAUUACAGCGUCUCUUAGGCGAGGCGGCGAAGAUCUCAGUGUAGUCUCCUGCUGUCAGGCGGCGACUCCGAAGAGGGACUGCCUGGAUGGGUAACACACCACCCCUAGUGGCAACAGCUGUCCUCCCUUCAGGUAUGCGUGCCCUCUUUACUUUGCGGUUCUGCAUCUUCUCAGUGUGGAGCAGGCCCUUGACUAGUUGCAGCUCUUGGCGAAGCUUGACUAAUUCCUUAACCAGGAAGUGUGUCAGGGUGUCCGACGAGAGGCUGAAGUAGGACUGAAACCUAAAUGGCAUCCCAUCCUCCAUGGCUGGGGUGAGUGUCCAACUCCCAUCCACUCCUUCCUUAAUGAAAUGUAGGUGACGAGUGACAGGCUCAUUAGCCAUCUCACGGAGGAUGCUGCGGAGUUGCACGAGCGCCUCUCGUGCAGCCGUCUCCACUGCCAACAUCAGCUCUCCCAGCUGUGGUCCUUCGAAGAACCAACUAGACGGGGAGUCAUUAGCCUUCACUAUCACGUCCACGUGAUGUUCCUUAGUGUCGCCGUUGACCCAGUGCUCGUGGUAGAGGAAGAUUGGCGUGCGACGUACAUGGCACUUCUCGAGACAAUCCACCAGGAGUAGUGGAAAGCCGGUCUCCAGAAGCAUCUCAGGUACGACAGCCAUCUACAAGGCAUAGGAGAGAAGUCAGAAGGUUGUAUGUGCAAAAGUCUUGUGCAAGGCUGGCGUUCUAACGUUCUCGGCUAACGUCCAUGCUAUCUAAGGCUUCCUACAGUCAGGAUGGCUCUGAUACCAAUUCUGUGGGGACCCCGACUAGCAAGUCGAGUUCGCCGUGCCCAGUGACCCCAAGGAUCAAUGUUCACUGAACACAGAUACCGAAUAAUAGAGUCUUACAUCCAAGUACCAAAAUUAUUACAUCAAACGACCAGAAGGUUGGGUUCAAGAGCGAGGAAUAAGGCCAAAUUAAACAGAUACAUCGAGUAGCGGAAACUCGUAAGGGCUAAGCGGUGCCCAUGCCAUCAAGCCUACACCGACAGGCAUUCUGACUUGGAAGCGUCCUAGAUCGCAGGUUCGUCUCCGACGGCGUACUCGUCACCAAACUCCGGUCCUUCCAUGUCUGGUCAAUAAUAUAACCAGUGGCAAGCCAAUGAGUACUUUGAAUGUACUCGCAAACAGCCCAUGAUAUGAACAUUUAUAGUGAAGAAUAACAGUAACAUGCAUCUUUAGUGGAAUGCAAUUUGGUGGAAUGAAUAGGUAUAUGCAACAAGUUAAAGAAUUACUCUUGAAGAACAGGUUACAGAUAUCAACAUAUCUGUUAAGGGUUGAACACACCGGGUUCACCCUAUAUGCCAAGUCAUCAGACUUGUCAUAACCUAAAUGUAUUAAUCAGGGCUAAACCAUCCGGGUUUACCCUAUAUGUCAAGUCACCGAACUUGAUCAUAUUAUUGUGAUUAUCAUAGCAACACCUUUUUAACACCACACACACACUCACUCUUAGUUUAUGCGUAAACGCUGGACGUAGUUUAAGCAGCACCACCCAACUGUCCUUGACCGUGGACACGGCUAUUCGAAUAGUUUACACUCUGCAGAGGUAGUACGCUGGACCCACGAGAAACGGGAAACUUCCGUGUCAUCUACGACUCGCGGUAUAUCACAUAUACCUGAGGUAAGUACUCGAUCAUCAUCUUUCCCCUGACGAUACUAGACAAAGAGGUCCACACGAUUGGUACCCAGCCCACAUGUUGUACGUCUUACGAGCACCGACUCUGGACUGUAUCAACCAUGCAGGGACCAACGGUGUGCCUGGAACUCAUAAUAAUGGCAUAGUCGUCCUACCUGGCACGACCCCAUCACGAGAGUGACACCGAUCACUCCCGCCACUAGUAAUUUGGCUCUUUGCUACUACCGACCAGAGUGAUCAACAAAGCCCCGUCCCAUAGAGGGGUAUCAUGGUCGUACUGGUAAGGUUGGGACGGCUGACACAUCAUAAAUCUAAUCCCAUUUCCGAAACCAUACUCACACAAAAUCAUCGGUGCAUCACUUCACCAAAAGUGAUCACCAACUCAUCAUCACCCUCGGGCAUUAGUGGCACCCGACGUGGUUUUCAUAAACUCUUUAUUUAACUCAUCAUCAUGCAUGUGAUAAUAUGCUCUAUCAUUACUUGUCAACAUGGUAAUAACAUGAUCCUCAAGGGGUAGGGUCAAGCUCAAUGCAAUGAUCUUACUCUACUAGUCAACAUGACAGUAGCAUGAUCCUCAUAGAUCGUAGGGUCAAGCUCAUCAUGCUUAUGCUCCGAGGAGCCAUAUGAAUAACAUCACUACCAUGCAAGUGCUUCGAAGAAGCCUUCGGUACCAUCACAUCAAUGAUGAACCGGCACUAUGAUCACAUGCAACGGGAAAAUACUUGCUAUUCUAGCAUGCAUCAUUUCAUAUGCUUAAGUCAUGGUCAAAGGGCUGCUUGCCUUGGUUAGCUAGGUAUCCGAAGUCUUCGAGGUCUUCCGCUUCGGAUCCUCCGUCACUCGGUAACUCUACCGUCGAAAAAGGAAUAAAUAAAUAAUGGCUUUCACUAAAACAGAUCACAAAGUGCUUUUAAAAAUGUUGCAAAGCUUGAAUAAAUUCAGUUUAUUAUUUUGGAAAAUGUUUCCUAUAGUUUUUAUUAGCUAAGCAUAUUUAUUUAAAAGAAAACAGAAGCAAACAAAUCAUUUAAUAUCAUUUUAUUAUACCAAAAUAGUUUCUAUUUUUUGAUAAAUGUCAAACUCUACAGAAUUAAUUAUUACACAUUUUUAGAAAAUUGCUGGUGGAAGAAUCAUAUUUUUCUACUGGCUAAAUAUUUUUAUAAAAAACAUUUAAGUUGCUGGAUUAAAAUAAAAGGAAAAAGGCGAGGGGAAAAGAUCCAGCCGGCCCAGCCAGCAGGCCUGGCCACCAGGCGCGCGCGGGGCAGGUUCAAACCUGACCUGCGGGCCCCUGGGGUUAGCGUCAGCGGCUGCGCGCGCGGGCCAGGUUCAAACCUGACCUGCGGGUCCCUGGGGUCAGCGGCUGCGCGUGCUGGCUGCCCCAGGACACCGACAGGUGGGCUCCACCUGUCGGGUUCUUCUCCUACCUCCAGCCAGAGAGGUGGAGACAGACGCCGGCGAGUCUGCCGUUGUCCUCAGGCCCAUCUAGGAACGGGAACGGGUCCCUCGUUCCUCCGCCUACCUUCUCGUGGUCGGGACGUCACCGGAGGUGGUCUGGCUCACCGGCGACGAGGUCAUCGUGGCAGAACGGUUUCAGGUCGGCGUCGAACUAGUGGCUAGGGGUACGGAUUCGGUCGGGAAAGUUGGGGGAAAUGGUCCUGGCGUCAAGGGUAGUGUAAUGGGAGGUCGGGCAGCGCAGGAGCCGACAUGUAGCUGGAGAUCGACCGGAGCUCCGAGGCGGAGGGGCCUCGGUCGAUCUCGAGCACCGGGGUUCUGCGAGCUCGAUUGGGUGGCUAUUGGGUGUCUACUGGUUGUGCUGAAGCUGCUCGGAGGGUGCUGGGGUGUCGGGGGGACCUAUUUAUAGGCCAGCAACGGUGACCCGACUCGGGCGUGCCGGUGACUCACCGUGGCGCGCGUGCGAGCACAGUGAGGUGCUGGCCGCGAAACCACGGGUUCGGGAUGUGGUUUAGGACCUCCUGGUGCAUCGGCCGCAGAGAGAAAGAGAGUGGGGUCGAGCCGCAGCGACUGUGCAUGCUCGGCCGCGUCGGGCGCGCACGGGCACGCGUCGCCUGAGCUCUUGCGCGAGGGGAGAGGGUCCCUGGGGGUAGCUUUGCAGUGAAUAGUUGUCGGGGGAGCGUUUGGACAUUACUGGGGAGGUUGGGAACGGCCGGGGCGUUGUCCCCUUGCUGGAGGCUCUCUGCAGCGCGCCCAGAGCGCAGUUUUGGCAUGCCACGGCGUGUUGGCGCGCUCUGAGGCACUUGGGACGUGUCCUCCAUGUCCUGAGUGCUGCUGGGAGUGAGCCUAGCCGUUGUGGGUUAGUGGGAGCUCGAGCUGGUGAAGGGAGCAAGGAACACUAGUGUUGCCAAUACUGCCCUGCGGCUCAAAUUGAAGUUCUUGUCACUUGUGCUUGGAGUUGGGUAGGGGCUGAUUGACUGGGUGCUCAGGGUGUUCUGGGGCUCUAACCCACCAAGUUUAGGGCCUUGACAUUGGGUAAAAUAGUGGCUAGGAGGGUUUUUACGUUCAUGUCAGUAGGUGUUCGACAGUGACUUGGGGUGCUUCCACUCCACCACUCGAACUAACACUUAAUAGGUUUGGUCAUGGGGUAAAAACAUGCGGUUUCACCAAAUUUGAGCUCCAUUGAACAAGUUUAGCUUUGUAAACUUGAAAAUGCCUCAAAAUGACCAGUACUGUCCUUUACAAAGGAAGUGUGGCCAAACAGAGUCUCACAAAUCCCAUCUUUGGUGUGGAGUCUUCAUUUGGGGUGUUAAACACCUCUGCAAAGUUUCAGCUCCAUUGGAGAAACUUUGCAAUGUAGAGUUGUUCCAACUUUUCUCUGGACAAAGAGGGUUUUGGGCUCAUUAGGUGCACUUCCCCACCUUGGAUCAAGGUGAGAUUUUAUGUGAGCACCUAAUAUGGCUUGAGAGGGCUCGUGUAAUUUUAUGGGGAUUUAGUGAGAUAAUUUCCUUUAGAAACAUCUCAAAAAGCUAAAACAGACAGAAAUGGUUUUCAUGGUUUUACUCAAAUAAUAUUAAUAUAAAAUAGGGUUGAAAAUCUUAUAUAUGGAAAAUAUAUGUCCUUCUGAGCUUCCAUGAAUUUACUCAGAAUUUUCUAAGGCAGGAAAGUAAUUUUCCUUGUGGGAAUAUCAUUACUGGCCUUAGAAACAGACAUAGAUAUAAAAUAGGAAAAUAAUAUCUUAAAUCACCAAUUAAUGUUUUAGUGAAUUAAAAUAAUAUGUGGAUCAGAUCACCAACUUUGGUUGGAAGUGCCACUUGGCUUCAUGAGCUAGUAGUGUAUCCCAACAUGUUGAAGGUGAUCUUGAUAUAAUGGAAAACGGGUUUUUGAAGAGAGCAAAAUAAUAAGUUCUUCAUGGGUUUGAGUCAUCAAACAAGCAAGCAUUCAUUCAAACAAGGGUUUACAUUGCACUCACAACUUUAUUUGAAAAAGUUUUAACAAGCUCUGAUUUUUGCAACAUAAAAUACUUGUGGUGAAAAACAGGGUGUGACAUAAUCCCACUAUUUUUGAAGAGCGUCAACUUUGCAUGCAUGUGGAUCAUGAAAAAAAUAUCCUCUGUGAUAGCUAUAUUGUUGAAUUUGAUUAUGAUCCCACAUGUAAUUGCUAUGAGAUAGGAAAAUAUUAUGGUAGAAACUUUCAUGUUACCAAAUUUCCUCUCGUUAUGUUGAGAUUGCUAUUGUCUCUUUCUUCUUCCUUGCAUUUGGUAACUAUUGGUUGUCUUGACAAUCUGUUUUCCUAUAAAAUGUCUAUGCAUAGGAAGUAUGUUAGACGUAGAUGUAAUUUUCACAUUUUCAUGAUGCUCUCUCCGUGUCCGAUUGCUAUCUUUUAUGUGAGCAUCCUUGAAUUAUCAAUGCCUAGCUAAGGGCGUUAAAAAAUAGCACUUGUUGGGAGGCAACCCAAUGAAUUUAUAUUUUCUUUUUUGCUUUCUGUUUUGUUGCGUCCACACCAUCAUAAUUCAGUUAUGAUUGUGUCUUUUGUGUUCCUUUUUGUGUUUGAGCCAAGUAAAACCUUUAUGACUAGUUUGGUGAUGGUUGUGUGAUCCUGCUGAAAAAAGACAGAAACUUUUUGCUCACGAAAUUAUUUUUCANUAUUUUUCAUUUUUAUUCAGAAAUAGCUUUUGAGUUGAUUCUUCUUGACUCUGGUUGAUAUGCCUUGUGCCCAGGCUGUCGUAAAUUUUCAGAAUUUUUGAGGUACCAGAAGUAUACGAAGUAUACAGAUUUCUACAGACUAGUCUGUUUUUGACAGAUUCUGUUUUUGUUGUGUUGGUUGCUUGAUUUGAUGAAACUACGGAUAGUAUCCGGGGGGGGUACUAGCCAUGGAAGAGUCAGAAUAUAGCAAUCUAACACCAAUAUAAAUAGAAAUUAAGUUUUCUACAGUACCUAAAGAGGUGAUAGUUUGUUUUCUUGUGCUAAUGAUAUCACAAGUUUCUGUUUAAAUUUUGUGUUGUGAAGUGUUCAAGUUUUGGGUGAUGUUUUCAUGGACAAAGGGAUAAAGAGUGGAAUGAGCUCAAGCUUGGGGAUGCCCAAGGCAUCCAAAGCCAAAUUCAAGGACACCAAAAAGCCUAAGACUGGGGAUGCCCCGGGAAGGCAUCCCCUCUUUCGUCUUCAAUCCAUCGGUAACAUUACUUGGAGCUAUAUUUUUAUUCACCACAUGAUAUGUGUUUUGCUUGGAGCGUAUUGUAUCGUAGGAGUCUUUUCUUUUUGUUGUGUCACAAUCAUCCUUGCUGCACACCUUUUAUGAGAGACAUGCACUCAUCGUGAUUUUGCUAGAAUGCUCAUUGUGCUUCACUUAUAUCUUUUGAGCUAGAUAAUUUUGCUCUAUGUGCUUCACUUAGAUUUUUUAGAGCACGGCGGUGUGUAACUUGGUAGUUGGCUUGUGCUAUGAAAGUAGUCCCAAAGGUGGUAGGUACCCAAAGAGGAUACAAUAAAACUUCCAUCUUCAUGUGCGUUGAGUAGAAAGAGAAGUUUGAUUCCUCUCAAUUAGUUUUGAGACGUGGAUUUGGUAAUAUUAAGAGUUAUGUUAGUGGGGUGUUGUGAAUCUAGAAAUACUUGUUAGGAAUUUGGAGCAUAAUUGAUAUAUUGAUUGUCAUCCUUUGUGUUGCGGUCGGGAUCGCGCGAUGAUUAACACCUACCAACCCUUCCCCUAGGAGUAUGCGUUUUGCACUUUGUUUCGAUUACUAAUAAAAACUUUCGCUACAAGUAUGUGAGUUCUUCAUGACUAAUGUGAGUCCAUGGUAUAUAUUCACUUUCACCCUCCACCUUUGCUAGCCUCUCUAGUGCCUUGCAAUUUUCGCCGGUGCACAAACCCACGAUAUGCCUUCCUCAAAACAGCCACCAUACCUACCUACUAUGUCAUUUUCAUAGCCAUUCCGAGAUAUAUUGCCAUGCAACUCCCACCUUUCCGUCUCAUGACUUGUGCUGUCACUCUCAUAUUGCCAAUGCAUGAUUGUAAGAUAGCUAGCGAGAUGUUUCAACGUCAUACGCCAAGCUAGAUCGUUGCACAUCCCGGUACACUGCCAAAGGCAUUUCCUAUAGAGUCAUCAUCGUUCUAAGCUUUGAGCUGUGAGUAAAUAAAAGUGUGAUGAUCAUCAUUAUUAGAGCAGUGUCCCAUGUGAGGAAAUAAAAAAAAUAGGCCAAAGUUGCCCACUAUAAAAAAGAGAGAGAGAAGAGAAAAAGAGAGAAGGGACAACGCUACUAUCUCUUUCCACACUUGUGCUUCAUAAUAGCACCAUGUUCUUCAUGAUUGAAAGCCUCUCGUUUUUUCACCACCAUAUACUAGUGGGAAUCUUUAUUAUAUAACUUAGCUUGUAUAUUCCAAUGAUGGGCUUCCUCAAAAUUGCCCUAGGUGUUUAUGAGCAAGCAAGUUGGAUGCACACCCACUAGUUCUCCUUUUGAGCUUUCACAUACCUAUAGCUCUAGUGCAUCCUUUGUAUGGAAAUCCCUACUCAUUCACAUUGAUAUCUAUUAAUGGUCAUCUCCAUAGUCCUUUGAUACGCCGAGUCAUUGUGACCAUCUCCUCCUUUUUGUCUCACAACCUCCACCACACUCUAUUCCACCAUAGUGCUAUAUCCAUGGCUCAUGCUCAUGUAUUGCGUGAGAGUUGAAAAAGGUUUGAGAAAGUAGGAGUGCGAAAACAAUUACUUGGCCAAUACCGGGGUUGUGCAUGAUUUAAAUUAGUUGUCUGGGGAUGAUGGAGCAUAGCCAGACUAUAUGUUUAUGUAGGGAUAACUUUCUUUGGCCUUGUUAUUUCGAAAGUUCAUGAUUACCUUGCUAGUUUGCUUAAAGUAUUAUUGUUUUCAUGUCAAUAGCAAACUAUUGUUUUGAAUCUUACGGAUCUGAACAUUCAUGUCACAUGAAAGAAGUUACAAAGGACAACUAUGCUAGGUAGCAUUCCACAUCAAAAAUUCAGUCUUUAUCACUUCCCUACUCGAGGACGAGCAGGAGUUAAGCUUGGGGAUGCUUGAUACGUCUCCAACGUAUCUAUAGUUUUUGAUGGUUCCAUGCUAUUAGCUUGUAAAACUUUGGAUGUUUUGUAUGCCUUUUAUAUCUUUUUUGGGACUAACUUAUUAACUAAGUGCCAAGUGCCAGUUCUUGUUUUUUUCCAUGUUUUUGACCCUUUUCAGAGGAGGAUUUUAAACGGUGCCCAAACAGAAUAAAACUUCCGAAAAGAUUUUUUCCAGAACAGAAGAUACGCAGCGGACGUGAGAACCAAGGCAGAUGCCACUAGGGGAGGCCACAAGCCGCCUAAGCCCGGCCAGGGGGGCCCACGCCUAGCAGGCUUGUGGGCCCCCUGUGGCUCAUUUGCCCUACCUCUUCCGCCUAUAAAUUCCCUAAAAAUCCAAAACUGCGAGAGAUAUCCACGAAAAUACUUUUCCACCGCCGCAAGCUUCUGUCUCUGCAAGAUCCCAUAUGGGGCACGUUUUGGUGCCCUGCCGAAGGGGGAUUCGGAUACGGAGGGCUUCUUCAUCAAUACCAUGGCCUCUCCGAUGAUGCGUGGGUAGUUCACCACAGACCUUCGGGUCCAUAGCUAGUAGCUAGAUGGCUUCUUCUAUAUCUUGGAUCUUCAAUACAAAGUUCUCCAUGAUCUUCAUGGAGAUCUAUCCGAUGUAAUCUUCUUUUGUAGUGUGUUUGUUGAUAUUCGAUGAAUUGUGGAUUUAUGAUCAGAUUAUCUAUGAAUCUUAUUUGAGUUUCUUCUGAUCUCUUAUAUGCAUGAUUUCAUACCCUUGUAAUUCUCUUCGAGUUGUGGGUUUUGUUUGGCCAACUUGAUCUAUGAUUCUUGCAAUGGGAGAAGUGCUUGGUUUUGGGUUCAUACCGUGCGGUGACCUCACCCAGUGACAGAAGGGGUAGCGAGGCACGCACCGUGUUGUCGCCAUCAAGGGUAAAAAGAUGGGGUUUACAUCAUUGGUUUGAGUUUAUCCCUCUACAUCAUGUCAUCUUGCUUAAGGCGUUACUCUGUUCGUCAUGAACUCAAUACACUAGAUGCAUGCUGGAUAGCGGUCUAUGUGUGGAGUAAUAGUAAUAGAUGCAAAAAGUAUCGGUCUACUUGUCUCGGACGUGAUGCCUAUAUGUAUGAUCAUUGCCUUAGAUAUCGUCAUGACUUUGCACGGUUCUAUCAAUUGCUCGAUAGUAAUUUGUUCAGACACCGUAAUAUUUGCUAUUUUGAGAGAAGCCUCUAGUGAAGACUAUGGCCCCCAGGUCUACUUCACAUCGUAUUUUCAGCCUUACAAUUUUACUUCAGUGCACUUUCCACCUUGAGAUCUCACUUUGCAAUCAAUCUUGAAGGGAUUGACAACGCUUUAUAGCGUUGGGUGCAAGCUCCUUUGUGUUUGCGCAGGUGCUCUGGACACUUGGCCUGAUUCUCCUACUGGAUUGAUACCUUGGUUCUCAAAAUUGAGGGAAAUACUUACUUCUCCUGUGCUGCAUCACCCUUUCCUCUUCAAGGGAAAAACCAAUGCAAGCUCAAGAGGCAGCAGAAGGAUUUCCGGCGCCGUUGCCGGGGAUUUCUUGCGCCGUAGCAUGAACUAUUCACGCAUCAUCAUGGAGGUAGCAAGGUUGAUGAAUAAGGCCUCUGUGAUUGAUCCCCCUCCAACAUAUUACCGAAAAAGGCCUCCAUAUGGUAUUGUGGGGGAACAAAGGCUUGCGGUGGAGGAAAAACUAUUUUGGGUGUCUCUCUUUUGGUUUUGGGGUAUUUUUGAAUAUAUAGAAGUGGAAUUAGGUCAGGGAGCAUGUGAGGUAGUCACAAGCCUUCACGACACGCCCUAUGGGCUCAUCGUUCCCUCAUGGCUCUUCUGGCCACCUCCUGAAGCUUCUGGGUCUCAUCAUGUCCAAAAAAACCCCAUAAGGUUCCAUCUUGUUUGGACUUCAUUUUGUACUAUUUCUUGAAAAGGUCAAAAACUGGCAAAAAAUGGGAACUGGCACUAGGCACUCAGUAUCCCAAAAAAUAGGUUAGCCCGAGAAAAUGAUCUAAAAUAGCAUAUAAUUGCAUAUAAAGUAUCCCAGAUUGAUAAUAUAAUAGCAUGAAACAAUCAAUAAAUAUAGAUACGUUGGAGAUGUAUCAAGGAGGCCAAAUGAUGUCCACAAGACAAUAGGGCACACCCACCCCCAGGGAGCACCCUGAUGUCUUGUGGGACCCACAACUGGCCUCUGGUGCCCUCCUUUGUCUAUAACAGUCAUUUUGACCUAUAAAAAAUCAUGAGAGGACUUUUUGGAUGAAGCGUCGCCGUCUUAAGGCGGAAGCUCGACAAGAGCACUUUUCCUCUUUGACGGAGUGAUUCCGCCGGGGAUAAUUCCCUCCAUGAGGAGGAAGUUGAAGCCAUAGACAUCACCAACAAUGCCCUCAUAAUGGGAGGACUAAUCUUCCUAAACUUAUUCACCAACACCAUCUCAUCUCAAACCCUAAUUCAUCUCUUGUAUUGUAUAUUUGUCCCAAGACCUCAGAUUGGUUCUUUUGGGUUGAUAGUAGUGUUGAUUACAUCUUGUAGUUGAUGCUAGUUGGUUUACUCGCUGGAAGAUUAUAUAUUCAGAUCCUGAAUCAUAUUUAAUACUCCUAUGAUCUUGAAUAUGCACAUGAUUUGUGAGUAGUUAAUUUUGCUCUCGGGAACAUGGGAUAAAUCUUUUUAUAAGUAAUCAUGUCAAGUUGGUAUUCAUUCAAUAUUUUGCUCAUGUGUAUGUUCUUCUUCCUUUAGUGGUGUCAUGUGAACUUUGACUAAAUGACACCUCCCCAUAUUUGGGUCCAAGGAAAGGCAUUGUGGAAGUAAUAAUUAGAUAAUGUGUUAGGAGAGUGACAAAAUCUUAAACCCUAGUUUAUACAUUAUUCCGUAAGGGACUGAUUUGGAUCCAUAAGUUUCAUGCUAUGGCUUGAUUUAUCUUAAUUCGUCUUUCAUAGUUGCGGACGGUUGCGAGAGGGGAAAUCAUAAGUAGGAUGUUUGUUAAAGUAAGAACAACACCUUAUCAAAGGACCACCCACAUAUAAAAUUAUCGAAGUAAUGAGUGUGAAUCAACUAAACAUGACUAGACGAAAAUUCCCAUGUGUCAUCGAGAGCGCUUUAAUCACUAUAAGAAGUAAUUUCGACUUAUCCUUAACUAUAAAAAAGGAUUGGUCCACCUUGCCGCACUCUUGUUACCCUGUAUGAAUUAUCUUGCUAUAAAACUAUAUGUUAUCAUUAUUUACAACACUUGCACAAUAAACCUUGCUGAAAACCGCUUGUCAUUUCCUUCUGCUCUUCAUUGGGUUUGACACUCUUUCUUAUCAAAAGGACUAUGAUUGAUCUCCUAUACUUGUGGGUCAUCAAGGACAAACAUGAAUUAAACUUGGGGAUGCCAAUAUUUCUCCAACCUAUCUACAAUUUAUGAAGUAUUCAUGCCAUUUUUACAAAAAAAUUAUAUGGUUUUGAUGCACUUUAAUAUUAUUUUUAUAGACUCACGUAUUAAUCCAGUCCUAUGUGUCACUUCUUGGAUUUGUAUGUUUUUUGUUUAAUAUAAAAACCAUGCCAAACUAAGUCCAGAUUCGAAAAAAAUUUACAAUGUAUUUUUAUGGAAUAUAUGUGAUUAUUAGAAGAAAGAAUCAACACAAGACUGUGCUUGAAGGCCCUGUAGGGAAGGCUGACGUUUCCUUGCCUUGUUGUCACCUCAUAGGUUGGUUGGAGCCCUUAUUGUGCAGCUAGAAAUCCAAUUUACGAAUAAAAAUCAUGUAAAAAAUUCAUCCCAAUUGAAGUCAUGGAUCUCUGGGAAUAAAAUAAACGGUGAAGGGCUCCAAAAAUAGUCGUGAAAAGCAAGAGACAAAAGAGAGAUCCAAUCUAGGGAGAGCUCCUUCUCUCCCCCAUAGGGCCAAGGAGGAAGAAGAAGGAGGGGGCACGUCCCCCUCCCAUUCGGUGGUGUUGGAGCAUCGUGAUGGCCAUCUCCGUCAUCACCAUCACCACCAACUUCGCCUCCAUUCUCAUGGUGAUGUGUGAUUAGUUCAUCCUCGGGGAUGAGGUUAUGUAUCAGUAGAUAUGUGUUUGAUCUCUCUCUCAUGAUUUUUAAAGGGCACGAUCUUGAUCUACAUUGGGAUUUGUUUAUAUAGUUCAAUUAUAUGGUGUUCUUACCAAUUUAUCUUUGUUGUGAUGAAUUGAUUCUUGCUCUUUGAAGUUUCAUAUGUCAGAAUUAAUACUUGGGAUUUGAGAUCACUUGAUAUAUGUUUUGCUUGUGCAUACGUGUGGUGACAAUGGGGUAAUCUAUUAAGAUCACUUGAUAUAUGUUUCGGUAAUCAACUUUUGGAUUCUCAUGAUGGCAUUGGGGUAAUCUAAGCAUAAAGGUUGGUAAAAGUUUAUCAAUAUGAACUUUGCGGUGAUUCUUUAUCGCACGUUGACGGAUUGUAAUGUGAUCCAAUCAUGUUAGUAUUGUUCAGAGAUUGCACUAGUGAAAGUAUGAACCUUAUGCCUUUUUUCAAAGCAUUGAGACAAAAAGCUAUUUCUACCAUCCUAUUACACAUCUAUCAUGAUCUCUUUGUUGAGCUAGUGCAUAUAUAUAACUGGAAAUUGUAUUGGGUGUGUUGGCUACACAAGAGACUACUUGUAUUUGCUUGCAUGAUUAUUGGAGAGAGAACCAUCUUCUUCCUACACCACCCACUUUAUGUCAUCCACUUGAGGGAAAUUUGUUGUUGUCCUACAAAACUCUAGCUUGGAGGUCCAACAGAGUUUACAAAAAUAUAGUUGUAUAGUAGACACAAAUGAUCUACUUGAUGUCACUCGAAAGCUUUGACUUUGACAUCCCUCCGGUAAAGAUUAACACUCCCCAAAGAGUGUGAACUUGGGAAUACAAUCUACUUUAUCGACUCACUUGUGGUCAAUCCAUUCACAUACCUUUACUUGCCAUGUAUGCUUCUUGGCUUGCUAUUUAGAUUGUUGUCUAACAUAUAAUUUGCUUUAAGUUUGCUUCUUUUUUUGGUAAAAACUUCCAAUCUAUUCAUAUUCAAUCGUGGAAGUACAACAAACAUGAAAAAUGAUAAAAAUUACAUCCAAUCCGUAGACCACCUAGCGAAUACUACAAGCACUGAAGCUAGCCAAAGACGUGUCAUCGUCAUCGCCCCUCCCUCAUUGGACCCGAUCAAAACUUGUUGUAGUAGACAGUAAGGAAGUCGUUGUGCUAACGCACCAUAGAACUAGUGCACUAGGAAACCACCGUUGAUGAAGAGUAGCGUAGAUCGGAAGGAUCCAACCUUAAGACACAUGCGCGUAGAUGAACCAUGACCAGGUCAAAGCAUAUCCACCAUAGACGGAUCCUCCGGAGACACAUCUUCACAUGCUCACCGAUGAUUCUAGAUGCACCAUCGGGAUGGGGGUUAGAUGGGGAGAACCUUAUUUCAUCUUUAGGGAACCGUCGCCAUCUUGCCUUCCUGAGUAGAACACAAAUUCUAGAAAACUAAAAAAAAUAUCUAAAAACGAAGCCGACUAGCGGCGCUGUUGACACGAGGCAUAAGAACCCUAUGUGUUUUUUGGAGAGGACGCGACAACUCGAACCGAUCUUGAUUGUUUGCAAUGCUUUAAGUUUUCUUGCCAUAUGGUAGAAGGUUGUUAAUGUCACGUUAUAUAUGUGGAGAUGUCGGUUUAUUAGCAUUGCUCUUAAAUUCGAAGUUAUAUUUAAAACUUGUAGUCUCCGAUUUACUAUGGAUUCUUCAAAAACGGUGAUGAGAAACUUCACAUGUCUUGUGUGAGCUUCCUGUCAUUAUGGUAUCUUCAACAUGGCAACCUGUAAAUCAUCUCGAGUAUCCGUCGAUGGAUAAGGGACCAGUCCAUGAACACUAAUGUGGAAGAGGGCCAUCCAACAUUAUUCAUAUAAAUUUUAAUCACUUUUUCAACAAGGACACGUUUACAAAGUGGCCACCUGAUCCCUAGCAUUUCAGAGUGGCGGGCCAAAAAUAAAAAAUCUUAUCUCUAAUAUAUAAAAGGAAAUAAUAUGUCCCACCUAGUCCACGGAUCUAUAUUAGGAAAAAUACAUGUGCCAAAAGAAAAGUAAAAAAUAACCAUGUGAAUAAAUGUAAACAAAUUUAAUUCGGAUUUCAGAAUUUUUUAAAAGCCAUAACUUUUAAAGCAUGCAUCGGAAUUAAGAUCCAUUUUCACUGUUGGGACCCUCGCAAUGGGCUCUUCGAAACUAGAUCCCAUGUGGGUAUGUUUUGAUGAACUUUUUUGUAUGUAAUUGUUUAGCCGUUGAUGUGCAACUAGCUCACAGCCAGUUUGCAACUUUCCUUGUGGACGUGUAGUCUCAGUGAUGUGAGUAUGUGGGAACGCAUUUAAUUCAUGUUUUAUUGUUUCAAAAAAUAACAACUUUUGAACCGAACCUCAAAAUUAAUAAUUUUUUACCACAUGAAUUCUGGUGACGUGGUCUACGAAACUAGAUCAUACAUGGUAUGUUUCGAUGAACUUUUUGUGUGCAAUUUAGUCUCCACCUUGAGAAACUGUCUAGCGACCGAUGUGCAACUACCUGACAGUCAGUGUAUAACUUUUCUGCUAUUUUCAGUGGUGGCACCAUCCCGUACUACCCCUCCGAGUGAGAUGUGCAAUUUCGUCUUCUUCCCGGAGCAACUGUCAUUGCCAACUGCUUGGUAGUCUUUGUGCUUGUGCAACUCCCACAAUCGCAUGGGAGCUACUAUCCUGAAAUAGUGUGCAAACCCAUAGUACAUGUGUGAGCAACUACGCCAACCAGGAUGUGCAACUUCUCAAUCGUGUGUUAACAACUAAUCGGUCGUGCGUGUGCAAAUUCCGCACCAUGUGUGUGAGCAACUAUGUGGAUGAGACAGUGCAACUCUGCAGCCACGCAUGUGUGACUAUGCCGACGAGAAUGUGCAACUUUGCAGCCGUACGCGAACAUCUCAUGCAGCACCGUGUGUGCGACUAUGGGAACUAGAGUGUGCAACUUCGUGAUCACGAAUGUGCUACUAUGUCGAUGAGAGCGUGCAACCCCGCGGUUGUACGUGAACACCUUCCGCAACAUCGCGUGUGGAACUAUGCAGACUAAAGUAUGCAACUAUGUGGCCACGCAUGUGUGACUAUGCUGGCGAAAGUUUGCAACUCAGCGGCCGUGUGUGAGCACUUCCCAUAGACAGGCGUGUGCGACUAUACGGAUGAGAAUGUGUAACUUGACGACCAUGCAUGUGUGACUAUGUCGACGAGAGUGUGCAACUCUGUAGUCACACAUGUGCGACUAUACGGACUAGAGUGUGCAACUCCACGGACAUACUUGAGCACCACCAGCAGUUGGGUGUGUGCGACUAUGCGGAUAAGAGUAUGCAACUCAGCGACCAUGCAUGUGCGAGUAUGUUGAGAGUGUGCAACUCCGCGGUCUUUCGCGUGCGACUAUGCGGACGAGAGUAUGCAACUCUACGGCUAUGGGGGUGCGACAAUAUCAAUGAGAUUGUAUGACAUGUCGACAAGAGGGUGCAACUCCGAGGCCGCCUGUGUGACUAUGUCGGCGAAAGUGCGCAACUUCGUGGCCGUCCAUGUGCGAUUAUGUUGACGAGACUGUGGAACUCCAUAGUUGUGUGUGAAUUACUACACAGACUAGAAUGUGCAACUUUUUCCUACGUGUUGACAUGUAGUUUUUGCUGAUUGCAUUCCGAACUAGCCCUUCCAGUACGUCGUGCAACUUCUACAGCUAUCCGGACAACUACAUGAUGGUUGAUGUGUAAUUUUAAAAACAUUAUUGUGCAAGUCUUAUGAGAUGAUAAUUUACAUAACAUAGACAAAGAGACAUGUAUAAAUAGUACAAACUAAGGAUUUUUUUUGCAAAAGAACCAACGAGGUAAGGUUCUCAUCGUUUAUGGUUAGAAGUCGAUUGAUUUGUUUGUUGAUGCUUCUAAACGGAGACACAUAUGCCACGGGGAUCAAGCACACUGCUUUGCUCGUGCACUCUUGAGAGAGUGGGCAACCUCCUCGUUCAUUGACCGUUGGUUUUUUUGAACAGUAGAAGGGUCCCAAAGGACCAAGCUUCCAUUACAUAAGCAUCAACGUACAUUUUACAUCAGGACCCAACUAAAACAGGAAAUUACAGCUAAGCCUAUGACUUUUACAUGAAGGACCCCAAACAGAAAGUAAAAAAUCAUGAUUGCGUCCCUAACAACCACCCCUUGGAUUGAACCUUGAACCUCGCCGCUGACGGGGACGAACCACUUGGUGAGUUGAAAUCGCCAUGGUCGCAUUAGCUGCAUACCACUGCCUCUGGAUCAUAGCUGGAACUGCCUCCCAUAAGGCACACACGCCGAGAGGAAUGGAAUCAGCUGUUAUUCAGCCAGAAGAAGGAGCCAGCUAGCGGAGACCGGCAUCCAACCAAUGGCGUCGUCGCUCCAGCAUGUAAUCAUAUCCUCACACGCUCGAGCUCGACCAACAAACUUCAGGUAUCUGCAAUGCUCUUGCUACUCAUCCACAACCAAAGUGACCUGAGAGAGCAAGAAGGUGCAGAGCGAAUCCACCAUAUCAGAGAAGACCUCAUGCUUAUUAGGGGGAGAGAGCCUGCGCCAGAUCCACUCCCAACUACCUCCGUCCAUCAUGGACGGAAAGCCAGGGACGCAGCUGACGACCACCAGACACUACCCGAAUAUGUCAAUGGAGAGGUCCAGAAUGGCAUAACGCUAGACGCCACGGAGGCAAGUCCUAUCAUACUACUAGACCAAAAUCUACUAUGCACAGAAGGAGGCUGAUGACCCACAAGUAUAGGGGAUCAAUCGUAGUUCUUUCGAUAAGUAAGAGUGUCGAACCCAACGAGGAGCAGAAGGCUCUGAUAAACAGUUUUCAGCAAGGUAAUAACUGCAAGCACUGAAAGUAGCGGUAACAAGUGAUGGUGUAGUGAGGUGAAACGUAGCAAGCGAAAAGUAACAAGUAACAAGUAGUAGCAAUGGUGCAGCAAGUGUCUCAAUCCGUUUUGCAGCAAGGGGAAAGCCUGAACAAAGUCUAAUAGGAGGGAAAACGCUCCCGAGGACACACGGGAAUUUCUGUCAUGCUAGUUUCAUCAUGUUCAUAUGAUUCGCGUUCGUUACUUUGAUAGUUCGAUAUGUCGGUGGACCGGCGCUUGGGUACUGCCCUUACUUGGACAAGCAUACCACUUAUGAUUAACCCCUCUCGCAAGCAUCCGAAACUACGAAAGAAGAAAUAAGACAACGUCUAACCAUAGCAUUAAACUAGUGGAUCCAAAUCAGCCCCUUACGAAACAACACAUAGACUGGGUUUAAGCUUCUGUCACUCCAGCAACCCAUCAUCUACUUACUACUCCCCAAUGCCUUCCUCUAGGCCCAAGUAUGGUGAAGUGUUAUGUAGUUGACGUUCACAUAACACCACUAGAGGAAAAAGACAACAUACAACAUAUCAAAAUACCGAACGAAUAUCAAAUUCACAUGACUAUUAUCAGCAUGACUUAUCCCAUGUCCUUAGGAACAAAAGUAACUACUCACAAAGCAUAAUCAUAAUCAUGAUCAGAGGGGUAAUGAAUAGCAUCAAGGAUCUGAACAUAAACUCUUCCACCAAGCAAUCCAACUAGAAUCAACUACAAAGAGUAAUCAACACUACUAGUAACCUUACAAGUACCAAUCGGAGUCGUGAGACGGAGAUUGGUUACAAGAGAUGAAAUAGCGAUUGGAGAGGAGAUGGUGCUGAUGAAGAUGUUGAUGAAGAUGCCUCCCCUCCAACGAGAGGAGUGUUGGUGAUGACGAUGGCGACGAUUUCCCCCUCCGGGAGGGAAAUUUCCCCGGCAGGAUCGUCCUGCCGGAGCUCUAGAUUGGAUCUGCUCAAGUUCCGCCUCGUGGCGGCGACGAAACCAAGAAAAAGCUUCCGAUUGAUUUUUUCUGGAACGAAACCCUUCAUAUAGCAAAAGAGGGGGGCCAGUGGGCCAUCAGGGAGCCCACAAGCUUGCUAGCCGCCACUAGGGGGUGGCGACUACCAGGCUUGUGGCUCCCAGGUAGCUCCCCUCUAGUGCUUCUUUCACCCAGUAUUUUUUAUAUAAUCCCAAAAAAUUCCACGUAAAUUUUCAGGGCAUUUGGAGUUGUACAGAAUAGUGGACUAAGAUUUGCUCCUUUUCCAGUCCAGAAUUCCAACUGCCUGAAUUCUCCCUCUUGAAAUAAACCUUGCAAAAUAAGAGAGAAAAGGCAUAAAUAUGGUACCACAAAGUAAUAUAACAGCCCAUAAAGCAAUAAAUAUCAACAUGAAAGCAUGAUGCAAAAUGGACGUAUCAACUCCCUCAAGCUUAGACCUCGCUUGUCCUCAAGCGAAAGCCAAGUUCCAUAAACAUGUCCACAUGUUUAGGGACGAAGGUGUCGAUAAAACAUAAUACAGACACGAGGGCAUCAUGAUCAUACAUAGAACAACAAUACAUCAUAAAGAUUUUUAUGGGAAAGUAACAAUUCCUUCACAAAGCAAAGUAUGAUGAAAAAACCUUACCGAGAAGUAACCAACAACAGUCCAAAGUCAUUGAAGCAAUUGCAAUUUAUCAUAACAUCAGAAAGAGUCAAAUAAGAGCUUGUAAGGCAAACCCACAUACUCAAUCAUCUCUUUUGUUUUUCCACAAUUGUUACAACUCACGUGGUACUCAUGGUGUCAAAGUUUCAGCUGGACACAGAGGAAGAUAGGGGCUUAUAGUUUUGCCUCCUAACUAUUUACCUCAAGGGUAAAGUCAACAAUAAUAAAGCAUAAGUACUCAACUCCAAGUUGAUAUAUGAAUAUAGAUCUUUCCCAAGCAUGUGAAGAUCACCAUGAAUCUUACGAGGGAAAAAAGUAAAGGUACAAGAUAGGCUCUUCGCAGAGGGAAGAAGAGGUUGUCAUGCACUUUCGAGGUUUGAAUGCGUGUCCUCUUAGUGCAGAGGAACGUCACUUUAUAUUGCCUCCUGUGAUAAAGAACUUUAUUAUGUUGUCUGUCGCUUUUAUGUCGUCCGCAUCACAGGUUCGUACAAAGCUUAUUUUCCACACACUAAUAUAUCAUACAUAUUAGAGAGAAAUUUUUAUUGCUUGCACCGAUGACAACUUACUUGAAGGAUCUUAUUCAAUCCAUUGGCAGGUAUGUUGGACACUCAUGGCAAAACUGGGUUGAAGGUUUAUGGAUGCACAAGUAGUAUCUCUACUUGGUGCGGGAGUUUUGGAUAAUAAGAGGUGGAAGCAAUCAUCACAUGCUAAGGGGUCUCUAAUCAUAAACAUUGUUUGGAAUCAAGCAAACACAAUUCAUUAUGUUGUCUUCCUUGUCGAACAUGUACUCCUAAGCAUGUAAUAGUUUGGUGAGUGCUCACAAUUGUAAAAAGUGUCUAAGAUGAUAUAUUUAUAUAUGAACCUCUCUUUCCUUAUUACUUCUUAUUAAUUGCAACAAUGACUGAGGUCUAUGUUGAUUUAUUCUCAACAAAUUUCAAUCAUCAUACGUGUCAUAUGUGAAGCUGUCACUUCCCAUAAGAUCAUCUCAUGAUCUUUCAUGCUAUCGUUCUUUUCAUACUUUUGAUCAUGGCACAAAGCAAAGCCCUUGACUAAGAUACUCUAUAUUAUAUAGCUCGUAAGCUCGAAUCCAUCGAGGGAGACACAAGGCAAAAGACUCAAACUAAACACUAAAGACUUAUUCCUCUAAGAGAAGAAAUAAAAACUAAAAAGGAAAGAACUAAAACAAAGGUAAAAGCAAAAGAUAUAAAGGUGAUACGAUACCAGGGCAACUCCCCCAAGCUUGGCAAAAGCCAAGGGGAUUGCCCAUACCAAUGCUUUAUUGUCUUCCUUUGGUGGUGAUGGAGGUGGAGUUGUUGAAGCAGUCUUGAGCUUGUCUAAUUUCCACUUGCGCAAAAAGUUCUGCUCCCUUAGAUCGUCGUUUUCCUCCUCAAGUUUCAACACUCUAUGGCAAAGUUCCUGCUUACUCUCCUGCAAGAAACGAGAGGGGAUAAAUAUGGUCUUAGGCUUCUUCCUGGAGUUGGGGAGGCUUGACUUCUUGAACUCCACAUGGGUGUUUGCAGGUUGAGGUAAAGGAGCCUCCUCUUCAUCGGAACUCGUUUGUUCUUUCCCUUUGGGCUCAUAGUCCUCUUCCUCAUCAGUGUUCCAGCCAUAUGGUUCCAAGUCCCCAUUAAUCCUAGAGUUAGCACGAUCAUCGGCCACAUAGAUCUCUUCUUCUGAAUCUUGAGAAGACAUCUUGACCUAAAUCUGCGGCAGACAACAAGCUCGAAACGAAAAGAGAGGAAAACUGCACGAUACGGUGAUCAAAACCUUCGGGCGAAUAUAUAUUUAUUUUUUCUGGACCAGAUGGAGUGCUCCACAAGGAAACGGACGUCUGGGAGGCAUACGAGGUGCCCACUAACCCUCUAGCCGCCACCAGAGUGGUAGGUGGCGGCUACCAAGCUUGUGGUCGCCUCGUGCGCUCUCCGGACUGCUUUUUAUUUUUCUAAUUUUCCGAAAAUUUCAAAACGGAGGAAAUUUCCUAUUGGAAAAGCAUCGGAGUCCAAUUUCUUACCGAAACAGAUACCUCUUCAUUUUCAGGGUCUGAAACAGGCUGAUAAACAUCCCUUAUGUACUCCUCUGGAGUUAUGACAUUGAUGAUAUUGGUCUCAACAUUUAUGGGAGUACCAGAGAUGUAAUGCUUGAUUCUUUGCCCAUUUACCACUCUAGGAAAAUUUCCUUCCGUGUUAUUGAUUUUGAUGGCACCGGAAUGAUAUACUUCCUCGAUAACAUAAGGAGCUUCCCAUUUAGAUAGAAGCUUGCCUGCGAAGAAUCUUAAACGAGAAUUGUAUAGCAGGACAUAAUCACCUACAUUGAAUUCUCUUUUUUUAUUCGUUUAUCGUGCCAUCUCUUAACCUUUUCCUUGAACAACUUGGCAUUCUCAUAUGCCUGGGCCCUCCAUUCAUCUAACUGUUGGAAUUAUGCCCUAGAGGAAAUAAUAAAUAUAGUUAUUAUUAUAAUUCCUGUAUCAAGAUAAUCGUUUAUUAUCCAUGCUAUAAUUGUAUUGAAUGAAGACUCAUUUACAUGUGUGGAUACAUAGACAAAACACCGUCCCUAGCAAGCCUCUAGUUGGCUAGCCAGUUGAUCAAAGAUAGUCAGUGUCUUCUGAUUAUGAACAAAGUGUUGUUGCUUGAUAACUGGAUCACGUCAUUAGGAGAAUCACGUGAUGGACUAGANGAAUGAAGACUCAUUUACAUGUGUGGAUACAUAGACAAAACACCGUCCCUAGCAAGCCUCUAGUUGGCUAGCCAGUUGAUCAAAGAUAGUCAGUGUCUUCUGAUUAUGAACAAAGUGUUGUUGCUUGAUAACUGGAUCACGUCAUUAGGAGAAUCACGUGAUGGACUAGGCCCAAACUAAUAGACGUAGCAUGUUGAUCGUGUCAUUUUGUUGCUACUGUUUUCUGCGUGUCAAGUAUUUAUUCCUAUGACCAUGAGAUCAUAUAACUCACUGACACCGGAGGAAUGCUUUGUGUGUAUCAAACGUCGCAACGUAACUGGGUGACUAUAAAGACGCUCUACAGGUAUCUCCGAAGGUGUUAGUUGAGUUAGUAUGGAUCAAGACUGGGAUUUGUCACUCCGUAUGACGGAGAGGUAUCUCGGGGCCCACUCGGUAAUACAACAUCACACACAAGCCUUGCAAGCAAUGUGACUUAGUGUAAGUUGCGGGAUCUUGUAUUACGGAAUGAGCAAAGAGACUUGCCAGUAAACGAGAUUGAAAUAGGUAUGCGGAUACUGACGAUCGAAUCUCGGGCAAGUAACAUACCGAAGGACAAAGGGAAUGACAUACGGGAUUAUAUGAAUCCUUGGCACUGAGGUUCAAACGAUAAGAUCUUCGUAGAAUAUGUAGGAUCCAAUAUGGGCAUCCAGGUCCCGCUAUUGGAUAUGGACCGAGGAGACUCUCGGGUCAUGUCUACAUAGUUCUCGAACCCGCAGGGUCUGCACACAUAAGGUCCGUCGUUGUUUUAUGCGUAUUUGAGUUAUAUGGUUGGUUAACGAAUGUUGUUUGGAGUCCCGGAUGAGAUCACAGACGUCACGAGGGUUUCCGAAAUGGUCCGGAAAUGAAGAUUGAUAUAUAGGAUGACCUCAUUGGAUUACCGGAAGGUUUUUGGAGUUACCGGGAAUGUACCAGGAAUGACGAAUGGGUUCCCGGAGUUCACCGGGGGGGGGAACCCACCCCGGGGAAGCCCAUAGGCCUUGAGGAUGGCACACCAGCCCUUAUUGGGCUGGUGGGACAGCCCAAAAGGGUCCUAUGCGCCUAGGAAAGAAAAUCAAAGAGAAAAGAAAAAAAAGGAGGAGGUGGGAAGGGAAGGAAGGACUCCCAGCCACCAAACCAAGUCCAACUCGGUUUGGGGGGGAGCCUUCCCCCUUGGACUCGGCCGACCCCCUUGGGGCUCCUUGUGCCCCAAGGCAAGGUCCCCUCCCUCCCACCUAUAUAUACGGAGGUUUUAGGGCUGAUUUGAGACGAUUUUUCCACGGCAGCCCGACCACAUACCUCCACGGUUUUUCCUCUAGAUCGCGUUUCUGCGGAGCUCGGGCGGAGCCCUGCUGAGACAAGGUCAUCACCAACCUCCGGAGCGCCGUCACGCUGCCGGAGAACUCUUCUACCUCUCCGUCUCUCUUGCUGGAUCAAGAAGGCCGAGAUCAUCGUCGAGCUGUACGUGUGCUGAACGCGGAGGUGCCGUCCGUUCGGUACUAGAUCGUGGGACUGAUCGCAGGAUUGUUCGCGGCGCGGAUCGAGGGACGUGAGGACGUUCCACUACAUCAACCUCGUUCACUAACGCUUCUGCUGUACGAUCUACAAGGGUACGUAGAUCACUCAUCCCCUCUCGUAGAUGGACAUCACCAUGAUAGGUCUUCGUGCGCGUAGGAAAAUUUUGGUUUCCCAUGCGACGUUCCCCAACAGUGGCAUCAUGAGCUAGGUUCAUGCGUAGAUGUCUCCUCGAGUAGAACACAAAAGUUUUUGUGGGCGGUGAUGUGCGUUUUGCUGCCCUCCUUAGUCUUUUCUUGAUUCCAUGGUACUGGUGGAUUGAAGUGGCUUGGACCGACAUUACUCGUACGCUUACAAGAGACUGGUUUCAUCGCUAUGAGUAACCCCGUUGCUCAAAGAUGACUGGCAAGUGUCGGUUUCUCCAACUUUAGUUGAAUCGGAUUUGACCGAGGAGGUCCUUGGAUGAGGUUAAAUAGCAACUCAUAUAUCUCCGUUGUGGUGUUUGCGUAAGUAAGAUGCGAUCCUACUAGAUACCCAUGGUCACCACGUAAAACAUGCAACAACAAAAUUAGAGGACGUCUAACUUGUUUUUGCAGGGUAUGCUUGUGAUGUGAUAUGGCCAACGAUGUGAUGUGAUAUAUUGGAUGUAUGAGAUGAUCAUGUUGUAAUAGAAAAUAUCGACUUGCACGUCGAUGGUACGGCAACCGGGAGGAGCCAUAGGGUUGUCUUUAUACUAACGUUUGUGCUUGCAGAUGCGUUUACUAUUUUGCUAGGAUGUAGCUUUAGUAGUAAUAGCAUGAGUAGCACGACAACCCCGAUGGCAACACGUUGAUGGAGAUCAUGGUGUGGCGCCGGUGACAAGAAGAUCGUGCCGGUGCUUUGGUGAUGGAGAUCAAGAAGCACGUGAUGAUGGCCAUAUCAUGUCACUUAUGAAUUGCAUGUGAUGUUAAUCCUUUUAUGCACCUUAUUUUGCUUAGAACGACGGUAGCAUUAUGAGGUGAUCUCUCACUAAAAUUUCAAGACGAAAUUGUGUUCUCCCCGACUGUGCACCGUUGCUAUAGUUCGUCGUUUCGAGACACCACGUGAUGAUCGGGUGUGAUAGACUCAACGUUCACAUACAACGGGUGCAAAACAGUUGCGCACGCGGAACACUCGGGUUAAGCUUGACGAGCCUAGCAUGUGUAGACAUGGCCUCGGAACACAUGAGACCGAAAGGUCGAUCCUGAAUCAUAUAGAUGAUAUGAUUAGGAUAGGGAUGCUUACCACUGAAACUAUACUCAACUCACGUGAUGAUCGGACUUGAGCUAGUGUAAGUGGAUCAUGAACCACUCAAAUGACUAGAGAGAUGUACUUUUUGAGUGGGAGUUUAGCGUAUAAUUUAAUUAAAGUUAAACUCUAAUUAUCUUGAACAUAGUCUAAGUCCACUUUGAAUAUAUUUGUGUUGUAGAUCAUGGCUCACGCUACAGUCAUCCUGAAUUUUAAUACGUUCCUAGAGAAAGCUAAGUUGAAAGAUGAUGGAAGCAACUUUGUAGACUGGGCUCGUAAUCUUAAGCUAAUAUUACAAGCUGGGAAGAAGGAUUAUGUCCUUAAUGCUGCGCUAGGAGAUGAACCACCCGCUACGGCUGAUCAGGAUGUUAAGAACGCUUGGUUAGCACGUAAGGAGGACUACUCAAUAGUUCAAUGUGCAGUCUUGUAUGGCUUAGAACCGGGACUUCAACGUCGCUUUGAGCGUCAUGGAGCAUUUGAGAUGUUCCAGGAGAUGAAGUUUAUCUUUCAGAAGAACGCCCGGAUCGAGAGGUAUGAGACCUCCGAUAAAUUCUAUGCUUGCAAGAUGGAGGAGAACUCGUCUGUCAGUGAACAUGUGCUCAAAAUGUCUGGGUACUCAAACCGUCUAGCUGAGCUGGGGAUUGAACUCCCGCAAGAGGCUAUCACUGACAGAAUCCUUCAAUCACUGCCGCCAAGCUAUAAAGGCUUUGUGUUGAACUACAACAUGCAAGGGAUGAACAAGUCUCCCGGCGAGUUGUUUGCGAUGCUGAAAGUCGUAGAGUCUAAACUCCGUAAAGAGCAUCAAGUGUUGAUGGUGAAUAAGGCCACUAGUUUCAAGAGAAACGGCAAAGGCAAGAAGGGUAAUUCGAAGAAGAGCGGCAAGCCUGUUGCAAAUCCAAUGAAGAAACCCAAAGCUGGACCUAAGCGUGAAACGGAGUAUUACUAUUGCAAGGGUAUGGGUCACUGGAAGCGCAAUUGCCCCAAGUAUUUGGCAGAUAAGAAGGCGGCCAAAGAAAAAUCAGGUAUAUUUGAUAUACAUGUUAUUGAUGUGUACUUAACCGGCUCUCGUAGUAGUGCCUGGGUAUUCGAUACCGGUUCUGUUGCUCAUAUUUGCAACUCGAAACAGGAACUGCGGAAUAGACGAAGGUUGGCGAAAGAUGAAGUGACGAUGCGCGUAGGAAAUGGUUCCAAGGUUGAUGCAAUCGCCGUCGGCACAGUUUCACUUCAGUUACCAUCAGGAUUAGUGAUGAACUUAAAUCAUUGUUAUUUAGUGCCUGCGUUGAGCAUGAACAUUAUAUCUGGAUCUUGUUUAUUGCGAGACGGUUACUCUUUUAAGUCAGAGAAUAAUGGUUGUUCUAUUUCUAUGAGUAACAUCUUUUAUGGUCAUGCACCUAAUGUGAGAGGAUUGUUCAUAUUGAAUCUUGAUAGGGAUACGCAUAUACAUAACAUUGAGACCAAAAGAGUUAGAGUUAACAAUGAUAUCGCCAUAUUUUUGUGGCACUGCCGCUUAGGUCAUAUUGGUGUAAAGCGCAUGAAGAAACUCCAUGCUGAUGGACUUUUGGAGUCACUUGACUUUGAUUCACUUGACACGUGCGAACCAUGCCUCAUGGGCAAGAUGACUAAGACUCCGUUCUCCGGAACAAUGGAGCGUGCAAGUGACUUGUUGGAAAUCAUACAUACCGAUGUGUGUGGUCCGAUGAGCGUGGAGGCACGCAGCGGAUAUCGUUAUUUUCUCACCUUCACUGACGAUUUGAGUAGAUAUGGUUAUGUCUACUUGAUGAAGCACAAGUCUAAAACAUUUGAAAAGUUCAAGCAAUUUCAGAGUGAAGUGGAAAAUCAUCGUAACAAGAAGAUCAAGUUCCUACGGUCUGAUCGUGGGGGUGAAUAUCUGAGUUUCGAGUUUGGUACUCACUUAAGACAAUGUGGAAUUGUUUCACAGUUAACAUCGCCUGGAACACCACAGCGUAAUGGUGUGUCCGAACGUCGUAAUCGUACUCUAUUAGAGAUGGUGCGAUCUAUGAUGUCUCUUACUGAUUUGCCGUUAUCGUUUUGAGGUUAUGCAUUAGAAACAGCUGCAUUCACUUUAAAUAGGGCACCAUCAAAAUCCGUUGAGACGACACCAUUCGAACUGUGGUAUGGCAAAAGGCCAAAGUUGUCAUUUCUUAAAGUUUGGGGAUGUGAUGCUUAUGUCAAAAAGCUUCAGCCUGAAAAGCUGGAACCCAAAGCAGAAAAGUGCGUCUUCAUAGGUUACCCAAAAUAGACAGUUGGGUACACCUUCUAUCUCAAAUCCGAGGGCAAAGUAUUUUUUGCUAAAAACGGAGCUUUUCUCGAGAAGGAGUUUCUCUCGAGAGAAUUGAGUGGGAGGAAGAUAGAACUUGACGAGGUUGUCGAACCUCUCAUCCCUCUGGAUGGUGGCGCAGGGCAAGGGGAAACCUCUGUCGUUGCGACGCCGGUUGAGGAGGAAGUUAAUGAUGAUGAUCAGGAAACUCCAGUUCAAGUUUCUGUCGAACCACGUAGGUCGACGAGACCACGUGCAGCUCCAGAGUGGUACGGUAAUCCCGUCUUAUCAAUCAUGUUGUUAGAAAACAAUGAACCUGCAAAUUAUGAAGAAGCAAUGGUGGGCCCAGAUUCCAACAAAUGGCUAGAAGCCAUGAAGUCCGAGAUAGGAUCCAUGUAUGAGAACAAAGUGUGGACUUUGGAGGUACUACCUGAGGGCCGCAAGGCUAUUCAGAACAAAUGGAUCUUUAAGAGGAAGACGGACGCUGACGGCAAUGUAACCAUUUAUAAAGCUCGACUUGUGGCAAAGGGUUUUUCACAAGUUCAAGGAGUUGACUACGAUGAGACAUUCUCACCCGUAGCGAUGCUUAAGUCCGUCAGAAUCAUGUUAGCAAUAGCUGCAUUUUUCGAUUAUGAAAUCUGGCAGAUGGAUGUCAAAACGGCGUUCCUUAACAGUUUUCUUAAGGAUGAAUUGUAUAUGAUACAACCCGAAGGUUUUGUCGAUCCUAAGAAUGCUAACUAGGUGUGCAAGCUCCAGCGAUCCACUUAUGGACUGGUGCAAGCAUCUCGGAGUUGGAACAAACGCUUUGAUGAGGUGAUCAAAGCAUUUGGGUUUAUACAAGUGGUUGGAGAAUCUUGUAUUUACAAGAAAGUGAGUGGGAGCUCUGUGGCGUUUCUAAUAUUAUAUGUGGAUGACAUAUUGCUGAUUGGAAACAACGUGGAGUUUUUAGAGAGCAUAAAGGAUUACUUGAAUAAGAGUUUCUCUAUGAAGGACCUAGGAGAAGCUGCAUACAUUCUAGGCAUUAAGAUUUAUAGGGAUAGAUCAAAACGCCUGAUAGGACUUUCACAAAGCACAUACCUUGAUAAAGUUUUGAAGAGGUUCAAAAUGGAACAGUCCAAGAAAGGGUUCUUGCCAGUUUUACAAGGUACGAGAUUGAGUAAGACUCAGUGCCCAGCAACUGAUGAAGAUAGAGAGCAUAUGCGCUCCAUCCCCUAUGCUUUAGCCACAGGUUCUAUCAUGUAUGCAAUGUUGUGUACCAGACCGGAUGUUAGCCUGGCCAUAAGUAUGUCAGGUAGGUUCCAGAGUAAUCCAGGAGUGGAUCACUGGACAGCGGUCAAGAAUAACCUGAAGUACCUGAAAAGGACUAAGGAGAUGUUUCUCGUGUAUGGAGGUGACGAAGAGCUCGCCGUAAAAGGUUACGUCGAUGCAAGCUUUGACACAGAUCCGGACGACUAUAAGUCGCAAACUGGAUACGUAUUUAUUCUUAAUGGGGGUGCGGUAAGCUGGUGCAGUUCCAAGCAAAGCGUCGUAGCAGAUUCUACAUGUGAAGCGGAGUACAUGGCUGCCUGGAGGCAGCUAAGGAGGGUGUCUGGAUGAAGCAGUUCAUGACGGAUCUUGGAGUGGUGCCAAGCGCACUGAAUCCAAUAACCUUGUUCUGUGACAACACAGGUGCCAUUGCCUUAGCAAAGGAACCACGGUUUCACAAGAAGACCAGACACAUCAAACGACGCUUCAACCUCAUCUGCGACUACAUCGAGGGAGAGGACGUAAAUAUAUGCAAAGUACACACGGAUCUGAAUGUAGCAGACCCGCUGACUAAACCUCUUCCACGGCCAAAGCAUGAUCAACACCAGAACUGUAUGGGUGUUAGAUUUAUUACAAUGUAAUUCACAUGAUGAUGUGAGGGCUAGAUUAUUGACUCUAGUGCAAGUGGGAGACUGUUGGAAUUAUGCCCUAGAGGCUAUAAUAAAUAUAGUUAUUAUUAUAAUUCCUGUAUCAAGAUAAUCGUUUAUUAUCCAUGCUAUAAUUGUAUUGAAUGAAGACUCAUUUACAUGUGUGGAUACAUAGACAAAACACCGUCCCUAGCAAGCCUCUAGUUGGCUAGCCAGUUGAUCAAAGAUAGUCAGUGUCUUCUGAUUAUGAACAAAGUGUUGUUGCUUGAUAACUGGAUCACGUCAUUAGGAGAAUCACGUGAUGGACUAGGCCCAAACUAAUAGACGUAGCAUGUUGAUCGUGUCAUUUUGUUGCUACUGUUUUCUGCGUGUCAAGUAUUUAUUCCUAUGACCAUGAGAUCAUAUAACUCACUGACACCGGAGGAAUGCUUUGUGUGUAUCAAACGUCGCAACGUAACUGGGUGACUAUAAAGAUGCUCUACAGGUAUCUCCGAANNNNNNNNNNNNNNNNNNNNNNNNNNNNNNNNNNNNNNNNNNNNNNNNNNNNAUAAUAAAUAUAGUUAUUAUUAUAAUUCCUGUAUCAAGAUAAUCGUUUAUUAUCCAUGCUAUAAUUGUAUUGAAUGAAGACUCAUUUACAUGUGUGGAUACAUAGACAAAACACCGUCCCUAGCAAGCCUCUAGUUGGCUAGCCAGUUGAUCAAAGAUAGUCAGUGUCUUCUGAUUAUGAACAAAGUGUUGUUGCUUGAUAACUGGAUCACGUCAUUAGGAGAAUCACGUGAUGGACUAGACCCAAACUAAUAGACGUAGCAUGUUGAUCGUGUCAUUUUGUUGCUACUGUUUUCUGCGUGUCAAGUAUUUAUUCCUAUGACCAUGAGAUCAUAUAACUCACUGACACCGGAGGAAUGCUUUGUGUGUAUCAAACGUCGCAACGUAACUGGGUGACUAUAAAGAUGCUCUACAGGUAUCUCCGAAGGUGUUAGUUGAGUUAGUAUGGAUCAAGACUGGGAUUUGUCACUCCGUAUGACGGAGAGGUAUCUCGGGGCCCACUCGGUAAUACAACAUCACACACAAGCCUUGCAAGCAAUGUGAAUUAGUGUAAGUUGCGGGAUCUUGUAUUACGGAACGGGUAAAGAGACUUGCCAGUAAACGAGAUUGAAAUAGGUAUGCGGAUACUGACGAUCGAAUCUUGGGCAAGUAACAUACCGAAGGACAAAGGGAAUGACAUACGGGAUUAUAUGAAUCCUUGGCAGUGAGGUUCAAACGAUAAGAUCUUCGUAGAAUAUAUAGGAUCCAAUAUGGGCAUCCAGGUCCCGCUAUUGGAUAUUGACCGAGGAGUCUCUCGGGUCAUGUCUACAUAGUUCUCGAACCCGCAGGGUCUGCACACUUAAGGUCCGACGUUGUUUUAUGCGUAUUUGAGUUAUAUGGUUGGUUACCGAAUGUUGUUCGGAGUCCCAGAUGAGAUCACGGACGUCACGAGGGUUUCCAGAAUGGUCCGGAAACGAAGAUUGAUAUAUAGCAUGACCUCAUUUGAUUACCGGAAGGUUUUCGGAGUUACCGGGAAUGUACCGGGAAUGACGAAUGGGUUGCGGGAGUUCACCGGGGGGGCAACCCACCCCGCGGAUGCCCAUAGGCCUUGAGGGUGGCACACCAGACCUUAGUGGGCUGGUGAGACAGCCCAAAAGGUCCCUAUGCGCCUAGGAAAGAAAAUCAAAGAGAAAAGAAAAAAAAGGAGGAGGUGGGAAGGGAAGGAAGGACUUCCACCCACCAAACCAAGUCCAACUCGGUUUGGGGGGGAGCCUUCCCCCUUGGACUCGGCCGACCCCCUUGGGGCUUCUUGAGCCCCAAGGCAAGGUCCCCUCCCUCCCACCUAUAUAUACGGAGGUUUUAGGGCUGAUUUGAGACGAUUUUUCCACGGCAGCCCGACCACAUACCUCCACGGUUUUUCCUCUAGAUCGCGUUUCUCCGGAGCUCGGGCGGAGCACUGCUGAGACAAGGUCAUCAACAACCUCCGGAGCGCCGUCACGCUGCCGGAGAACUCUUCUACCUCUCCGUCUCUCUUGCUGGAUCAAGAAGGCCGAGAUCAUCGUCGAGCUAUACGUGUGCUGAACGCGGAGGUGCCGUCCGUUCGGUACUAGAUCGUGGGACUGAUCGCGGGAUUGUUCGCGGGGCGGAUCGAGGGACGUGAGGACGUUCCACUACAUCAACCGCGUUCACUAACGCUUCUGCUGUAAGAUCUAGAAGGGUACGUAGAUCACUCAUCCCCUCUCGUAGAUGGACAUCACCAUGAUAGGUCUUCGUGCGCGUAGGAAAUUUUUGUUUCCCAUGCGACGUUCCCCAACACUAACGAGCUGAUAUCAAACAACCGCUUCUCACCAGCAAGUUUGAAAUCAAAGUUGAGCUCUUUGAUUGCCCAAUAAGCUUUGUGUUCCAGCUCAAGAGGUAAAUCANUUUUGUUUCCCAUGCGACGUUCCCCAACACUAACGAGCUGAUAUCAAACAACCGCUUCUCACCAGCAAGUUUGAAAUCAAAGUUGAGCUCUUUGAUUGCCCAAUAAGCUUUGUGUUCCAGCUCAAGAGGUAAAUCACAUGCCUUACCAUAAACCAUUUUAUACGGCGACAUGCCCAUGGGAUUCUUAUAAGCAGUCCUAUAAGCCCAUAGUGCAUCGUCAAGUUCGCUAGACCAAUUCUUUCGAGAUCUAUUGUCGGUCUUUUGUAGGAUCAAUUUGAUCUCCCUAUUACUCAACUCCACUUGACCACUAGACUGAGGGUGAUAAGGAGAUGCAACUCAAUGGUUGACAUCAUACUUAGCGAGCAUCUUGCGGAAAACACCAUGAAUGAAGUGUGAACCGCCAUGAGUCAUCAAAUGUCUAGGGACUCCAAAUCUUGGGAAAAUGACUUCUUUAAGCAUCUUAAUAGAGGUGUGGUGAUCAACAUUUUUAGUGGGGAUAGCUUCUACUCACUUAGUGAUAUAAUCCACAUCAACUAAGAUGUGAGUGUAUCCAUUGGAACUCGGGAAGGGUCCCAUAUAAUCAAAGCCCCACACAUCGAAUGGUUCAAUGACAAGUGAAUAGUUCAUAGGCAUUUCCUGACGCUUACUUAUGUUCUCUAUUCUUUGGCAUUCUUCACAAGACAAGACAAACUUACGGGCAUCCUUGAAGAGAGUGGGCCAACAGAAACCUGAUUGCAAUACCUUAUGGGAAGUUCUAUCUCCAGCGUGGUGUCCUCCGUAGGCUUCGGAAUGACACUUCUACAAGAUCUGUCCCUGUUCGUGUUCAGGAACACAACGUCUAAUAACACCAUCUACUCCUUCCUUAUAAAGGUGAGGAUCAUCCCAAAAGUAGUGUCUCAAAUCAAAGAAGAAUUUCUUCUUUUGCUGAUAGGUGAAACUGGGUGGUAUCUAUUUGGCUGCGAUAUAAUUUGCGUAAUCAGCAUAACACGGUGCACUAUGUGAAGUGCGGAUGACAUUUAAUUGCUCAUCAGGAAAGCUGUCAUCAACAGGUCGUGGGUCAUCAAGGACAUUCUCUAGCCUAGACAAGUUAUCUGCUACAGGGUUAUCAGCACCCUUUCGAUCAACGACGUGCAAAUCAAAUUCCUGUAGCAGGAGAACCCAUCUGAUCAGCCUAGUCUUAGCGUCCUUGUUCUCCAUAAGGUACUUAAUAGCAGCAUGAUCAGAGUGAAUGGUGACUUUGGAAUCAACUAUAUAAGAUCUGAACUUUUCACAAGCAAACUCAACUGCUAAAAACUCAUUUUCCGUAGUGGCAUAGUUUCUUUGGGCGCUGUCUAGAGUUUUACUAGCAUAGUGAAUAACAUUCAACUUCUUGUAGACUCUUUGUCCUAGAGCAGCACCAAUUUCCAGCACAUUGGGAUNNNNNNNNNNNNNNNNNNNNNNNNNNNNNNNNNNNNNNNNNNNNNNNNNNNNNNNNNNNNNNNNNNNNNNNNNNNNNNNNNNNNNNNNNNNNNNNNNNNNUCCUCCUUCUGCUAGUUUUAUUCUCCAAAAUGACAUACUUAGCUAAUUAUCCUCCAAACUGACAUAAUUAGCUUAUUUAGCUCACAUAUGACAUAAUUAGCUUAGUUAGGUCAAAAAUAGCACAAGAACCUUGGUUAGCUCAUAACUUAGCGCAUCUUCCUCCAAAAUGACAUAAUAACCUCAAAACAAGAUAAGUCAUCAUCUUCACCUUCGUCUUCUUAUUCUCCUUCUUGUUCUUAAACUCCUUCUUAUAGUCUUCUCCUCCUUNUAUUCUCCAAAAUGACAUACUUAGCAAAUUAUCCACCAAAAUGACAUAAUUAGCUUAUUUAGCUCAAUAAUGACAUGAAUAGCUUAGUUAGGUCAAAAAUAGAACAAGAACCUUGGUUAGCUCAUAACUUGGCGUAUCUUCCUCCAAAAUGACAUAAUAAGCUCAAAAGAAGAUAAAUAAUCAUCUUCACCUUCUUGUUCUCCUUCUUCUUCAUCUCCUUCUUAUAGUAUCCUCCUCCUCCUCCUUCUUCUUCUUCUAGUUUUAUUCUCCAAAAUGGCAUACUUAGCUAAUUAUCCUCAAAAAUGACAUAAUUAGCUUAUUUAGGUUAGUUAUGACAUAAUUAGCUUAGUUAGGUCAAAAAUAGCACAAGAACCUUGGUUAGCUCAUAACUUAGCGUAUAUUCCUUCAAAAUGACAUAAUAAGCUCAAAACAAGAUNNNNNNNNNNNNNNNNNNNNNNNNNNNNNNNNNNNNNNNNNNNNNNNNNNNNNNNNNNNNNNNNNNNNNNNNNNNNNNNNNNNNNNNNNNNNNNNNNNNNGGGUCCAGGGUCAGUGGCGUCGGGGGUCCAGGGUCAGUGACGUCGGGUGUCAGUGGCGUCGUGGGUCGGGGGUUGGUGGCGUCGAGCGUCGGGGGUCGGGAGUCGUGGGCCGAGGGUCUGGGUCGGGGGCAGUGGCGUCGGGGGUCGAGGGUUAGUGGCGUCGGGGGUCGGGGGUCGGGGGUCAGUGGCGUCGGAGGUCGAUGGUCGGGGGUCAGUGGCGUCGGGCGUCAGGGGUCGGGGGUCGAGGGUCAGUUUCGGGGUGCCGGGGUUCCCUUUUCCUCUUCUUUCUUCUUCUCCUCUCUCCUCUUUUUCUUCUUCUUCUUCUNNNUCUUCUUCUUCUUCUUUUUUCUCCUCCUACUCCCCCUCCUCUUUUUCUCCUUCUAUUCUUCUUCUUCUUCUUNNNNNNNNNNNNNNNNNNNNNNNNNNNCUUCUUCUUCUUCUUUCUCCUCCUCUUUCUCCUCCUCCUCCUCUCCUCUUCUUCUUCUUCUUCUUCUUCUUCUUCGUCUUCUUCUUCUUCUUCUUCUUCUUCUUCUUCUUCUUUUUUCUCCUCCUCCUCCUCCUCUUCUUCUUCUUNNNCUUCUUCUUCUUCUCCUGCUUUUUUUCCUUCUGCUUUUUUUCUUCUAACCUAACUAACUAACCUAAUUAGCCUAAUAAUCUAACCAAAUAAACUAACUAAAUUACCCUACAUAUAAUAAAAAACUAACCUAAUAAACUAACUAAAGUAAUUAACUUUUUUAAAAAGAAAAACAGGAAAAACUCACCGGCAGGGGGCGGCGGCAGGGGGCGUCGGCGGCAGGGGGCGGCGACGGCAGGGGGCGGCGACGGCAGGUGGCGCGGGCACGCAGCAGGGGGCGGCGGCGGCAGGGGGCGCGCCGCAGGGGAGGUGCCCUCUCGGGGAGGGGAUCCCACGGGGAGGGGGUCGCCGGGGGGUGGGCUCGCCGCGGGGAGGGGGUCGCCGCCGUGGAGAGAGAGAGUGGUCGGGGUGAGAGAGAGAGAGAGUGAGCGAGGGGGGGGGGUAACGGCCNNNNNNNNNNNNNNNNNNNNNNNNNNNNNNNNNNNNNNNNNNNNNNNNNNNNNNNNNNNNNNNNNNNNNNNNNNNNNNNNNNNNNNNNNNNNNNNNNNNNAAAAUCUGCAAAACGAAAAUAACAAAGUUAGAAGAAGAAGAAGAAGAAAACUAUAAGAAGAAUAAAACUAUAAGAAGAAUAAAACUAGAAGAAGAAGAAGAACAAAAAACUAGAAGAAGAAGAAGGAGGAGGAGGAGAAGAAGGAGAAGAAGGAGAAGAAGGAGA